CCGUCCCAAACGAACCCUAGAUUAUUAGUUAGCUAUACAUUUUUUGUUUCUUAGCCUCGUAAAUGAUCAUAGUAUAAUAGUUGACUAACAUGAAAUCACAAAUUAUGAUGUUGUGAUUUAUUUAUUUUUGUUCAUUUACAAUUGGCGUUGGGUACACUGCUUGCUUGAACAGUUGUACUUCUCCAUGGACCCAAUAAGGUGAAAAUUGUAAUAUCCAUAUCCUACUAUAAUUGGGAGGCUCAUAAAAUCUACCUCCUUUCUUUUUUUAUAGAAAUAAAAUCUCUCCUUGUGUCGGCAAAAUAAUAAUCAUUUUGUCAAAACUUUGGUGGGGAAGGACUAUUUGGUGGGUACUUCCAAAAAGGCUCCUAUGACUUCUCCUUCUGCAGAAUAAACAUCACACCCAUAUUUCUCAACCCCCCAAACCAACACCAUGGCCAUCAAAAACAACCCAACCAAGCAAAGACAAGAAAGAAGAACCCUAAAGCUGGUCUCCAUUCAAACUUGGAAGCUGCCCAGCAAGAGCUUAACUUGAACAAAGAGAGAGAUCAAGAUGACGAAAAGAGCUCUUCCUCUGCCCUGCUGUUUGUUUGGUAUUAGUUUAGAGAGAAUAUGUAGGGUUUGAAAUUGCAGGAUGGAGCUUACCUUCAUUGUGAAGUUCUCAGCAGCCCACCUUCCUUUUUAAAUGCUUCUGCUUUUUUUAUUGUUACAUUUGCAUAUAUCUGAGAUUCCCAAUUUUUUUUCUUUGCUUUGAUUCUUAUUCCUAGAGGUUUUGAUAAGUCAUCUCUUGCUUACUUCAUCGAGCUUAAUAAUGUUCUGCUUCGAGAAUAAUCUACUGUUAAUUAAGCUCUGCUUUGAGAAUAAUCUACUUUGGAGGCAUUACCAUAUAUGCCUAAUUUAGAUUGUCUUGGUGGGUGGUGAUUGUUCAUUUUGGGAUGGUUGGGAUAAAGAAAACUUAAGUGCAUCUCUAGGACUAUGGCAAUGUUUGAAUCGAAAGUAUAUAAGGUGAUUUUUUUUAAAAAAAAUUGGUAAUUUCAUAUUUCUCAUGCAUAGGGGAUUUUCAUUAAUUCUUUUAUUAAUUAAAGAACAGAUUGUCGAUAUGAUAUUGAUAAGAUGUUGUUAUUAUUGUCAAUAACAAAAUAUACGAUACAAACUAAAACAAUAUAAUUAUGAUGUUUUUAGGAAAAAUUAAGCAUUUUUAGUUGAAAUAUAAUUAGAUAACAAUUUAAAAUAAAGUACUUAUCCACAUUCAACAUAAUAAUAAACUAACAAAACGUUUCAACUUUUUAUUACAUUAGAGAUAAGAAUUGCACUAUAUUGGCAAGUUGAUGACAAGAUGCAUGUGCACCACCAUAGCUAAUUAAAUUUGUUCUUAUCAAGAAGAUGCAAAUAAAUCAUUAACGUUUCAAUUCGCAACAACCCAUAUUUUGCCGAGAUAUUAUUAAGUUAAGAUAGAGGAGUCAACUCUAGCAAGAAAAUCUCAAAACUUAAAAACCACGGUCAACUGACCCAGCGUGACAAGCAAUUCUGUCAUUCUGUAAAAUGAGCAAGGGUAAGUCCGUCAUUUCAUGUAAAGGAAAAUACAGCAGGCAACCACCGCCCCCUUUUUCCCGUAAAUAAGGCCCCAAACCAUGGGCAUUUUGGUCACGACGAUGAGAACACAGGCGGGGGCCAAAGUGAAAAAGAAAAAGUUUGAUUGAUUAGGGAAUAGGAAAGUAGAAACCAAUUAGAAAAAGUAAAAGAUUUGAUAUAAAUAAGGGUUAUAAAAGAAAAUAAAUAAAAAAAUGAGUCACCAAAAUAAAAAAAAAGGAUUUAUUUCUAAUUUUUUUAAAAAGAAAUUAUAUUUAUUUUCGGACGCGAAUUGAGAUUGAAAUAGAGUUUAAUAGGGGUGUUGAGAUCCGGAUGCCAGUCUCUCUCUCAAGGCUCUCUUUGUCCCUUAUCGGCUCACGGUUCUCACUUUCUCGCCCCACAGGCAGAUUUUCUUGAAGCCAGGAAAGAGAAAGAAAGAGAGGAAAAUUUUCUUCAGAGGAAGAGAAGGCAGCCGAACGACGACGAGGCGGAUAACAAGAGCAAACCCUAGGAGAGUCAUCGUCUCCCAUGGCUCACUAAACUCCGCCUAUGCUUUGUUUCGUCCACGAUCUGGUUUCGAAACCCUAGGGCAACCAACCUUGGCUGCGGCGCAGGCUCGAAAGGCUCUUCUACGAUUUGGUUUGCAGAAAACCCUAGAUUCAGUACGGUACGGAUAGGCAGCUGUGAGCUCUGUUGUUUUUGGGGCGUGGAAAGGCGAAGACUUUGGUGGGCAUACGGCCGAGAGAGAUCUUGGCGGUGGUGUUUGGGGUUUAGAAUUAGGGUUGUGAAGGUGUGGCUGCCCAUGCGAUUGGGUUGAUUUUGAUGCCGCCAGAACCAUUGCCUUGGGAUCGGAAAGACUUCUUCAAGGAGAGGAAGCACGAGAGGUCGGAGUCCCUUGGCUCUGUGGCACGAUGGAGGGACUCGCCCCAUCAUGCACCUCGCGACUUCAAUCGUUGGCCUUCAGCCGAUUUUCGCAGACCACCAGGUAUUUGUCUAUCAUAUUAUCAAUAAUCUCUCUUGUGCCUCUGUUUCUCUGCGGGCUAUUUAGAAUUAGAAUUCUUGGCUUCUGAUAAAUAUGUAUAUGCACACAAACAUAUGUUUCAUUAAUUUGCUGUUCUAGGGUUGUAAAUAACUUUUUGAACGGGUUGGGCUUGCUAAAACAACAAACAAAGAGAAGGGUCGGACAGACUUGAUCUUUAGCCUUAUGAUUCUUUCAUCCGUGAGCGGUUUGGGGUUUUUUCUUAUGAAUUUUUUUUUGACAAAGGGUUUUUUCUUAUGAUUCAACACAGCUAAUUUUGUUGUUUCAGUCUUUUUUUUUUUUCGGAUUUCAUAUCAUAUCCUUCACAAGUAUCGUUUAGAUCUGCCAACUUUCUGAGAUCUGUUAUGGGAAAUAUAUAUUCUUUUUUUCCUUUAAUUUUUCUGGAAAAAAUGGUUUUUGCCUUCUUUCUGUUUUGUUCGAAAUAAACCUUACUUGAGUUUUGUUUGGUCUGAAUACUUUGCUUGAGUUGAUUGUUUUUCUUUCCUUUCCUUUUAAAUAUUUUCUGAAGGUCAUGGUAAGCAGGGUGGUUGGCACCUAUUUUCCGAGGAUUCUGGUCAUGGCUAUGCAUCUUCUCGGUCUGGUGAUAAGAUGCUGGAAGAUGAGAGCUGCCGACCAUCAUUUUCGCGUGGAGAUGGAAGGUAUGGUAGGAACAGCAGGGAUAACAGAGGGUCUUACAGCCAGAGGGAAUGUAAAGGUCAUUCUUGGGAAACCAGCAGUGGGUCUCCAAACACACCGGGCAGGCCAAAUGACGUGAUUAAUGAACAAAGGACGCAGGAUGAUAUGCUGACAUACUCAUCUCAUCAGCAUUCUGACUUUGGAAGCACAUGGGAUCAGAUUCAAUUGAAAGACCAGCUUGAUAGAAUGGGCGGUUCUACUGGUCUAGGUGCUGGCCAGAAAUGUGAGAGAGAGAACUCGUUAGGCUCAAUUGAUUGGAAGCCCCUUAAAUGGACGCGGUCUGGAAGCAUGUCUUCUCGGGGUUCAGGUUUCAGCCAUUCAAGUAGCUCAAAGAGCAUUGGGGCCAUUGAUUUCAAUGAAGCAAAGGUUGAGUCACAGCCAAAAAAUGCCACUCCGGUGCAGUCUCCUUCAGGAGAAGCUACUACCUGUGUGACAUCUGCUGCCCCAUCAGAGGAAACAACUUCUAGGAAGAAGCCGCGCCUUGGAUGGGGUGAGGGAUUGGCAAAGUAUGAGAAAAAGAAAGUCGAGGUCCCUGAUGGAAGCAUGAACAAAGAUGGGGCUGUUUGUUCUGUUGGUAACAUGGAGCCGGUCCAUUCUCUGAGUUCAAAUUUGGCUGAUAAAAGCCCUAGAGUUACAGUAUUCUCAGAUUGUGCAUCUCCUGCAACUCCAUCCUCUGUAGCUUGCAGUUCCUCUCCAGGUAUAUUGUUGCAUCCUUACAUUCCCUUCACAUGUUACCCUAUCUUAAAUUGUGACCUGAUAUGUGAGUGGAUUUUGACAAGAUUUGUGUUUUAAAAUCUGUAAUGUGGUGUUGGCAUUAUUGCUUACUUAUUAAUGCAAGUCAAAUAGAAGUUAGUAUGAGAUUCAGUUGAUAUAACUACUCGUUGCUAGAAUGUGGGCGACCAAAUCCUCUCCUUGACAAGGAACAUCAUACAUGAUGCUUUUCUCAUCUUGACAUAUUAUUAUCAAUGUGUUGGUUUAGUGGAAUGGGAAGGGCCUGAAGGUAGAAAAUUAGGAAGUAAGGAUUUUAAAACCUUUUCUCCUGGGUUGUCCUUCUCAGUGGUUUUAGGUUGUAGUCUAAGUAAUUAUACCAAGUAUUUUGCUUUUGUAGUAUUAUGUGUUCUUAUUUUUUAAUUUUUUAAUUUUUGCUACCACACAUUCUUUUUGAUACCACACAUUCUUUUUGAAACCUUCACAUAUCUUAGUUUUUACAAAAAAAUGCAUUAUAUAUAUUUUUCUGUUGGUAAGUUAUCUGUUGUCUUGCUAUUUUUAUGCAUUCCAUAUUGUUAUGUUUAUCUCUCCCUUACACAUAUAUGUUAUAGGUGCAGAAGUUUUAUGAUUAUAUCAUUGUUGCAACAGGUGUGGAGGAGAAAUCAUUUGGCAAGACAGCAAAUGUUGACAACAAUAAUAGAAACUUUUGUGGUUCCCCUAGUCCUAUGUCUCAGAGUCAUCAUGAGGGAUUCACAUUCAAUUUGGAAAAGUUGGAUUGCAAUUCUAUAGCUAAUUUGGGCUCAUCACUACGGGAAUUGCUUCAAUCUGAUGACCCAAGUUCAGUGGAUUCUGGUAUUGUGAGGCCUACUGCAAUGAACAAGUUACUUAUAUGGAAAGGUGAAAUUUCGAAGGUGUUGGAAGUGACAGAGUCAGAAAUUGAUUCACUUGAAAACGAGCUUAAAGUAUUGAACUCUGAUUCUGGGGCCAGCUGUCCACGUCCAGCAACUUCUAGUUCUUUGCCUGUGGAGGACAAUGAUAAAUCUUUCAAAGAACAGGUUACUGUCACAAAUUUGAUCACUCGGCCUGCUCCAUUACAAAUUCAUUCUUCUGGGGACGCUGAUGUGGAGAAGAUGUGUCUUGGUAAUGGUGACCAGGUAGAAUUUUGUGGUAUUGUUAAGGAUGAGGAUAUUGAUAGUCCUGGAACAGCGACGUCGAAAUUUGUUGAACCAUUACUAAAGGUGGUUUCUUCAUCGGAUGUGAUGAGUCACAAUGAUUGUUCUGGGGAUUUGGAUCCAAUUGAAACGACCAAAGGGGAAGCAAAAUGCCUAGUGCCAGGAAAGGAUGAAGUAAAGACUGACCUGUCUGCUUGUGGAAAUAGUAGCAUGCUUUUGGGUAGUGAGAUAGUUGCACCUGUUUCUGGUGGUUUGGGUUUUUGUUUUAGUGUAGUUGAUACGAUAUGCAAUUCUAUAUGUUCUUCCAAUAAAGAAUCUGCAAAUAGAUCAUUUGAAGUAUUUAAUAAGCUGUUACCAAGAGAGCACUACAAGGUUGAUAUAUCUGGAGUUAGUAUUUCCUCAUCCGGGAAGAAUGAUUCGUUGAUCAAAGAGAAGUUCGCCAUGAGGAAGCGGCGUUUAAGGUUUAUGGAGAGAGUCUUAACCUUAAAAUAUAAAGCCUUUCAACACCUGUGGAAGGAAGACUUGCGUUUGCUUUCCAUACGAAAAUAUCGUCCGAAGUCUCACAAAAAAUUUGAAUUAAGCUUGCGAGCAACAAAUAAUGGGUAUCAGAAGCAUCGCUCUUCUAUUCGAUCUCGUUUUUCUACACCUGGUAAGUAAAUCUUUCUUCUUUAUCUGUUUAUUGCCAUAUUUUUCUCAACCUCAUGUGUUCUUUCUAUGAGAUUGGAAUAAAGUGCUUGGUUUAUAUGCGUUGAGUCUGUCAAUGUUGAUAUGCUGUGAUAUCAGAACAAGAAAAAUGAAAGAAAACAGUUCUGUUGUUGAUGGAUAUGGGUGUAGGGGGACUUUAGUUUAUAUUUUCAAUGCCGCUUCAGCUUUCUUGUUUUAUUAUUUCUGUGCUCUGUGUUGCAUUUGAUUUUAUUUCUCUUAGUGUUUGAACAUGGUUAUGGAAUAUUAAUUAUGCUUGAGGAACUGGUAAUGCCUCCUUUAUGCCUUUUUUAUGUUUCAAUAUUGUUGUCUUAUGGUAUGCUGGUAACAAAACAAGAAAAAUGAAAAAAACCAGUUCUGUUCUUGAUAGUAAUCAAGUGAUUAACUUUGACGAUUAAUGCAUUAUUCUUGCCUAGGAGGCAUGCAUGCUGACCUCUGGUGACAUGGUUCUCACUAAUUUUCCCUGUAUUAACAUUAGUGGUUAGUACUGGGAAAAAAAUAGAAUUCGAUGCUUUGUGAUUUUUGUUGGUGUAAUCCUUUGAGAACAAAUAUCUCCGCAUUUUUGUUAUGUUAAACAUUUUUUGAUCACAUUUUUCAUAUUUUUUUUUUUCAGCAGGAAAUCUGAGCUUGGUCCCGACUACAGAGAUCAUUAAUUUUACCAACAAGUUGCUGUCAGAUUCCCAAGUCAAGCGUUAUAGGAACUCAUUGAAGAUGCCAGCCUUAAUCUUGGACAAGAAGGAGAAGAUGGUGACGAGGUUUAUUUCUAGUAAUGGCUUAGUUGAAGAUCCCUGUGUUGUUGAGAAGGAAAGGGCAUUGAUGAACCCAUGGACGCCAGAAGAGAAAGAGCUGUUCAUUGAAAAGCUUACCACAUGCGGGAAGGAUUUCAGAAAAAUUGCUUCUUUUCUUGAUCAUAAGACGACUGCUGACUGUGUUGAGUUCUACUACAAACAUCACAAAUCUGUUUGUUUUGAGAAAACAAAGAAGAAGGCUGAUAUGACUAAGCAAGGAAAGUCUUCAGCUAAGACCUACCUAAUUUCAAAUGGGAAAAAAUGGAAUCGUGAGAUGAAUGCUGCAUCCCUUGAUAUUUUAGGUGCUGCUUCUGCAAUUGCAGCUCAUGCCGAUGGUAGCACAAGAUCUCGACAGGCAUUUUCAGGAAGGUUAUAUUUGGGAGGGUACAGGAAUACUAAUCCAUCACGAGGUGAUGACACCACUGUCGAAAGGUCUUGCAGUUUUGAUGCUAUUGGGAAUGAAAGAGAAACAGUUGCUGCUGAUGUUUUAGCAGGUAUAUGUGGCUCGCUGUCAUCUGAGGCUGUGAGUUCUUGCAUCACUAGUUCUAUUGAUCCUGGUGAGGGUUACCGAGAAUGGAAGUGCCAGAAAGUGGAUUCGCUAGCAAGGCGACCUUUGACGCCUGAUGUUAUGCAGAAUGUUGAUGAUGAGACUUGCUCAGAGGAAAGUUGUGGAGAAAUGGAUCCUUCUGACUGGACAGAUGCAGAGAAGUCUAGCUUUAUACAGGCAGUGUCAUCCUAUGGCAAGGAUUUUGCUAUGAUCUCACGAUGUGUUCGAACGAGGUCCCAACAUCAAUGCAAGGUUUUCUUUAGUAAAGCUCGAAAGUGCCUUGGGCUUGAUUUGGUACAUCCUGUGGCUGGAAAUGGAACAUCUGUUGGUGACGAUGUUAAUGGAGGUGGGAGUGAUACUGAAGAUGCCUGUGUUCUGGAAACUGGUUCAGGUAUUUCCAGUGAUAAGUCAGGGUGUAGAAUGAAUGAGGACAUGCCGUUGUCUGUCAUUAACAUGGAUGAUGAAUCUGAUCCUGCAGAGACCAUGAAUUUGCAAACAGGUCCACUUAGAUCAGAGGAAAAAAAUGUAAUGGGACAAUUAGAUCAUGAAGGUGGCAAGACACUCAAAUCUCUGGCGUCUGAUGCAGUAGAGACGGAGGAUAGGCCUAAUCUAGUUUUGGAUGAUGCCGAUUGUGUAAGAGAUGCCCAGAAAAGUCGAGUAUUCUCUGCAGAUGCUCUGAAAGAUGAUGCGGCUGAAGAGGGAAUAUUAAUUGCAGAAUCAGAACCUGUUGGUGGGGGAAUCAACUUUGACCCAACUAAUCCUGGCAUGGAUGGGGAAAAAUUGAUGGGUGAACUUCCUUCUGAUGGCAAUACAGAUACAAGCAGAUGCAGCCUACCAGGUUCAGUACACGAUUCUAAUUCAAGUGGCAAUGCUUCUGCCCUGGCUGGUGGUGGUUCUUGUUCAGGUUUCAGUCUUAACCCCGAGUGCCUGCAUCAAGUUUCUGUGGGGCUGAAUUCUAUGCAAAAGCCUUCUGUCAUCUCAAUGCCACAUGAGAAUCGUCAUGCUCCUGCAGAUUCUGUCUCACCAGAUUCUGCUAAAAUUGAAUGCGAAAAAGCCUUUAACCAAGAUAUUUUGUCGUCAACCCUGGAUCUACAGGAGGGUAGAGAGCCUAAAUCUGUUGGGAUAGAUGAGUGUAACAAGCACUUACCCGGUCUUCCAAUAUAUACAAAUGUUGAAUCCUCCCAGGUUCUCAAGGGCUAUCCAUUGCAAAUGCCAACCAAGAAAGAUACUAAUGGGGAUGUAACGUCUGGUAAUUUAUCUGAAGUUCAAAACUUUUCAAAGCCAGACAGGAAGAUCAAUGGUCAUUAUAUGACGAAAGAUGGCUUUCUUCAAUUUGGUAACUGUAAGCCGCAAUGUUCAGAGGUUGAUUUUCCCCUUGCUCCCCGAAAGGUAGAACAACCAGUUGGCCCUCCAAAAGCCCAUUCAUGGAGUUCGUCAGAUUCAGAUAAACCAAGCCGGAAUGGUGAUGUGAAACUGUUUGGCAAAAUACUCAGCAAUCCAUCAUCCCUGUCCAAGUCAAGUUCCAACAUCCAUGAGAAUGAAGAAAAGGGAGCUCACAACCAUAAGUUAAGCAACACGUCAUCUAACCUAAAAUUCACCGGGCAUCACAAUGCUGAUGGAAAUUCUUCUCUCCUGAAGUUUGAUUGUAGUAGUUAUGUGGGGAUUGAGAAGGUUCCCAGGAGGAGUUAUGGCUUUUGGGAAGGGAAUAAAGUGCAUGCUGGUUAUCCAUCUUUUUCUGAUUCAGCUAUCUUGCUGGCCAAGUACCCUGCAGCAUUUGGCAACUUCCCUACUACCUCUUCCAAAAUGGAACAGCAGCCAUUGCAGGCGGUUGUCAAGAACAACGAUCGGAAUAUUAAUGGUGUAUCAGUUUUUCCUUCCAGGGAAAUUAGUGGCAGCAAUGGAGUUGUGGAUUACCCGGUGUUCAGUAGGAGUCGGGAUGGUGCUAAAGUGCCCCCAUUUACAGUAGAUGUGAAGCAGCAGCAGCGGCAAGACGUAUUUGAUAUGCCAAGACGAAAUGGGUUUGAUACAAUUUCGAGUUUACAGCAGCAAGGAAGGGGGAUUGUUGGGAUGAACGUAGUAGGGAGGGGAGGGAUCCUUGUAGGGGGUCCAUGUACUGGUGUUUCAGAUCCUGUUGCUGCCAUAAGAAUGCAUUAUGCAAAAACCGAACAGUAUGGGGGGCAGCCGGGGAGCAUGAUUAGGGAGGAAGAGUCCUGGAGAGGAGGUAAGGGUGAUGUAGGAAGGUAGUAGAUGUUGCAGAGGGCCUUUGAGGCCCUCAGCGGCAAAUUAUUUAUUUGCUGCGCCCUGUAUAAUAGGUUUUUUUGUGUUCAGUCAGUGACAUGAUAGGGCAAUGGACGGUUUAAAGUCCCCGUCUUUUUGGUAAAAUGCUUUUUAGGUGCUUGUAAUAUUGCAGCAGCUUUGUAUUUGUUGUAUUUUAUGGAAAAUACAGAAAUAAACUGCAAAAGUUGGGAGGGAUGGAUUUAUUCCAGUUCACGAGCUCUCAUCUGACGUCUCUCCCUUGGACUUUUUUACAUAUUUUCUCCAUGAUUUGUUUUAUGUGUUUUACUUUACUUGGGGAGUGAGACGUCACUCAUUCUUUUAUCAACCAACUUCUGGGUUUGGUAAAACUCCCUUUUUUUUUUUUCAGUAUAAAAAUCUCAAAAUUUGCUUUGGCAUGGUUCUCUAAGGGGAAAAUUAACUCUGGGCAAAUACAAGGGUAUGUAUGCGUCUAUACUUCCAAGUCUUGGUAAGGAAAGUCUUCAAGGAAACCUGUUGAAUGAGCACUUUCCAUCUGCAGCAUUCUUGAUAUUGGUAGUAGUGCUAAUAAGUUCCUCGGUUUCUUGCCGAGUUCGGAGAAUAGCCGGAAGUGGUGCUGUAACUUUGAUUACCUGCAAAUAGAUACCAAAAACUUGACUAUUAUAAAAAAUAGAAGAUGCACAGCAUCCUUGAAUAGAAGUAGCAAUCGUUGUUUUAAACCUUUACCUCAUUGGAUGAUGGGUGAGAGAGAAUCACUUGAUGGGCAUGCAAGUUGUAGCCACAAUCUCCUGGAACAGGUUUUGUAGGCCUCAGGAAUCCUCUGCAUGCAAUGUGAAAUAAAAUGCAACUCGUAUCAAAAUGGAGAAAAAAAAUAAAUUAACGUUCUUUUAAUAUCAAUAUAAGCUUUUUACAUUGAAAAACGCCAAAAGAAACCAUGCAAAUUCCUCCAUGAUAGUGUUGAUAAUAUGGUGAGCAUUCACAAUCAUGUUCCUUAUUUUUUUAGUUAAAAUUUAGCUAAAAACACUAGAAAGGUAUUUUAGGAGCUUCUUAUAAAAUUUCAACCCCAACCAUGGUCUCUAGUUUAUGGAAUCAUAAAUGAUUUAUUUAUUUAUUUAGUUCAGCAUAAAUGCUCCCUCUUCAUAUAAAAUAAUAAUAAAAAAUAGUUAGCAUUAAAUAAUUACUUAAAAUAGCAUUAAAGUAAAGCAACAUUUAAUUAUAGGGAGCUACUAGGAGUCCUUUCUCUCUCCUCAGAUUUAGGAGCUCCUAGAGGUCUCCAUAUUUUAGGACUUGAAUAGAGAGCAUGGAUGGAACUUGGAGGUGGUUUUUCUCACUUCCUCCUUGAAUUUUAUCUAAGGAGGUGGUUUAGGGAGUCUAUUGUGGAUGCUUUAAUAGUAUGAUGAAAAAACAAAUGCUCUAUAUCACAAUAACUGCAUACCCAUCAUCUGCAAAACUCUCAUCUACAAAGUCAGAAUCUAAGCACUUUGGUUGUCCACCAAGAACAUAAAGAGGAUCUCCUGUUAAAAAAAAAGGGGGGGAUUUCUUUAGCAUUCAACUAGUCCAAGCAAUAAUACAGCUAAUUCACAACUACAGUAGAUAUGUAGGUGCAACCCCAAACUGCACCUUGCAAAUUAACAAAUAUGUGGGAAAUGAGGAUGUGGGGUUUCUCAAACCCAGGGCCUCCUAGAACCAGAGUUUGAUUAAAAAGUUUACCUAACAAAGGAUGUCCUAUGUAAGAAAGAUGGAUACGAAUUUGGUGUGGCCUUCCUGACUGAAUCUCAACCUGUUAAACAUAUCAGUGCGCUAUAGUAAGUUCUAAAAUUCCAAAAGAAAACAAAAAGACAACGAAAAAGAAAAAAACACAACCUGACUUCCUUGCCCAUCGUAAAUUUCAGAUAUCUUUUUUGUACUUAUCAUAAUCAUUAGGUUUAAUUUAAUUCUUGUGGUUAAUAGAAAAUCAAGUUGACCUUCGAAUGGGGGCUUGGGGAUGCGAAGUGGGGGCUUGGCCUAUGUCGUAUUUGGGUCUUCCCCUAGGAGGGAACCCCAGGGCGAUAAAGUUUUGGGAUCCCGUUGUGGAAAAGGUGGAGAAUAGAUUACAAAAAUGGAAGCGAGCUUGCCUAUCCAAAGGGGGAAGACUCACAAUGAUUCAGGCUGUAUUGUGUAGUAUUCCGAUCUACUACAUGUCCCUUUUCAGGAUUCCCAUUGGAGUAGCCAAUAGAAUCGAGAAGCUUAUGAGGGAUUUCUUGUGGGAAGGUUUGGAUGGGAAAAGAAACCACGCUGUGAGUUGGGAGGUUGUGGGCAAGGCAAAAUUCUGUGGAGGGUUAGGGGUGGGUUCGUUGAGGGCUAGGAGUGCGGCUUUGCGGGAAAAAUGGCUUUGGCGGUUUCCUAAUGAACCUCAUGCUCUUUGGCAUAAAGUGAUCAGAAGUAUUUAUGGAAUGGAUACAAAUGGGUGGGAUGCUAAACCUGCGACUCGGGGAUCUUGUCGCAGCCCUUGGAGGGACAUUUCUAGCGGCUAUAAUUUGUUUCUUCAAGGCUGUGUUUUCAAGGUAGGUUGUGGAGUUAGGGUCAGAUUUUGGGAGGAUGAUUGGAGCCGGGGUGGUGUUUUGAAAGAGGUGUUUCCUAGACUCUUCAAUUUGUCCAGAAAGCAAAAUCACAAUAUUUCCUCUUUUACGGGCUUAGAUGGGUUCCCUCUCAGUUGGGAUUUCGGUUUCAGGAGGAAUCUCAAUGAAUUGGAGAUAACGGAGGCGGCUAGAUUGCUGGAUUUAUUGGAGGGUGUGAGGGUGAUCACUUCCAGAUUGGAUAAGAGAAGAUGGAAGCUUGACCCCUCUGGUCUCUUCACCUGUCAUUCUUUCUGUUCUCAUAUUCAGAAUCGUGAUGAGGGGGAGAUAUUCUCCCCGUACACUCAAAUUUGGAAGGCCAAGACUCCUCCGAAAGUUAAGAUCUUUGUGUGGCAAGCGGUGUUGGGAAAACUAAAUACAGGUGAUACAUUACAGAGACGUUGUCCCUAUUUGUGCAUUAGCCCUCACUGGUGUGCUCUAUGUAAUAAGGCAGGGGAGAGCGUGGACCAUAUCCUGAUUCAUUGCCCUUUCUCUCUAAAGUUGUGGGAGACACUAUUGAAGGAAGUUAACUCGGUGUGGGUAAUACCAAAAGGCUGCUUUGAACUUUUUUCCAUCAGAUUUGAUGCUUUGGGAAGGGGAAAGAAAGCCAAAAUUCUCUGGGGAAGUCUGAUGCAGGCAGUGGUUUGGAACCUAUGGAUGGAACGUAACAGGAGAAUUUUUGAGGAUUAUAAGGGAGUGGGAGUGGCAGAGUUAUGGGAUAGAGUGAAGUUUUGGGCAGCCCUUUGGGCAUCAACUUCCCCUGCCUUUAAGGAUGUACCCUAUCCUAUAAUUAUGCGCAAUCUGCUGGCUGUAGUAUCUUAAGGGUUUGUUUUAUGGUUGGUUGGUUGUUUAUGUGUUGAGUGGCCUUGUGUCUGUUUCACCGGCUAGUGUUUUUUCUUUUUACCUGCGUGCUAAAUGGCCUUGUUUUGAUCCUUCAUUUGAAUAAAAAUGUUUCUAUUCAAAAAAAAAAAAAAAAAAAAAAAAAAAGUUGACCUUCGAAUGUUGGUUUAUGUUUCAUCCCCAGAUUCCCUCCCUUCCAUACAACAGUAUUGCUAACAUGGUGUUCGAUUUAAGCUAUCAAUAAAUUUAUCAUUCAUGAAAACAAAACAGAUGGAUAUAAUCAUAUAAGAAAAGCCUAUAUAUGUAUUCUGUAGUUUAAACUGGUAAAACUGGGGUACCUGGACCAGUGUUUGGUUUUUAUGAAUUCCUCUCUCAAGAACUUCAACUUUACUCAGAGCUGGUUUUCCUGGUUACGUGAAAAAAUUACAGAGAGGGAUAAGUAUGAUGGGAUAGAAUAGAUUGUUUUCUGCAUGAGACACUCAAGGGAAAGGGUGACCGGUGCAAGAUAACACAGGCAUGACUUAAAGGUUGCCAUUUUCUUUCUAAAUCACGGUGUAGCAAUUGGAGGGAGCUUACAGAAAUCAAAAUUCAUUCACUACAUUAGAGAAUGCAAAUAUACCUGUGGGAGAAGCAACAUACAGCCCUUUAGCCACACCAGGAUAUCGCACCACUCCAAUUGGCUGUUUGACAAUUACCUAUAGUAAUUUCACAUCAAUCACACAAUCUAUUUGCAUGUAUAGUUGGAGUAAAUAUCCUUGAAGAAGAGAGCCAAAAAAUAAACAAAAAGGAAGACCGCUGGUCCCAAGAAACCAUCAAUUUAAAUUGAGACUAGAGACAACUAGAAGUCAAAUUGCAACGAAUACUAAUAAACAUAGGAUGCUAAGAUUGGUGGGCUGCAAUGGACAAGACAGGAAAAAAAAUGGCAUUAGAAGCUAAUAAAUAGAUUUGCAAGUUAUUAUAAGCUACCAUUGGUUGAGUCCUACCUGAAGACUUUGCCCUAAAGACCACUUAGAGAAUUUUCUAAAGUCAAAUAAGGUAUGGAAACAGUAGAUAUGAAUGCUUUCUUUGAGAUAUAAACCUUAUACAUGCACAAACUGACAUUAAUCAUAGUAGCUCACACUUCAGCAGUACUUCACAAGGAUGUUACCUUAUCUUCACAGAGUAUCCCAGUCACUAGUGCCCGGUAUAUCUUUGAGAUUUUCCUCACUGCAUGCGCCUCCAUGGAGGUAUUACUGCAUUGAUGUUGUAGAUGUCAUUAGCAAAGUGAAAAAGAUUAUGACUCAACUGAAAGAAAUCUUAAGUCUACAUAGAGAAUCGGAUAUUAUCUCAUUGUGAUUACUGACAAUGUUUUCAUUCCAAAAAAAAGGGGAAGCUAAAAGCAGAUGUGAGCAAGAUGGAAUAGGUCAUUUCUCUAACCUGUUAUCUCCAAUAUUAGAUGUCCCGUCAGCAAAGUAUGCUGCAAGUUGAGUUUUGGCAUGCUUCGUCUUUGCACAGAGUAAUAUUCCUAGAACCAUAUGAGACCAGUCAACACGAAGAAUAUCAAGAAGUAUAACCAUCUCUGUUAGUAACCAUAACAAUGAACAGAUUUGCGCGAAUAGUAUUUAGAGCUGGAAAGUGAGCAACGCAUUGUGUACAAAGGAUUUUGUUAUUUAUAAAUGUUAUCUAGUGAGAAACAAUGAACAAAGCAUGAAGUUAUGCAUCUUUACAAGUUAAAAAUCAUGACAUCUAUCUGCAAUGAAGCCUAAAACAGAAAAAGGAAAGGAAAACUAUGUAUACUAACAUGAAACUUCUCUUGACACAGUGAUAAAACAAAUUAUGUCUAAUGUUUUAAUGCGCAUUAAUUGGUAACUAUGAAUAUUUUCAAGGCCUUGAUGAGUAUGGGUUGGGUGCUUAAUUCAAUUAGUAAGAUAGAGCAUGCAUCCAAAUCCUCUCAUGUCCACAGCCAUAUAUAUAUGAAAACUUAGCCACAGUGAUUGAAAAGAAAGAAAAAAAAAAGGACCUCAUUAUUUUAUUCAGCAUUGGAAUUCAUGAAUACCUGAAGUGCCUCUUCCUAAGCGAUGAACAGGAACAGGAUGUGGUUCUUGGCAUGAUAAGGGAGAGAUCUUAUUUGUUGCCCAACAUAGGAGCUGUGUGAGAACUGUCCGUUGCUGGAAAAGACCCCCAGGUAAAACUUGCAGGCCAGAAGGCUUAUUUAGAGCAAUCUGAAUUCAUUAGUACAACUUCACGUCAACAGCAGUCAUCAUAAAAAUGGUUGAAAACAGACAAUAAACAUUAUAUGCAGAGAAACCAUACAUAACUCUAAUGCUUUAUUUCAUGAAAACAAAAUUCUCAGACAAAAACAAAUCUUGAAUUAUUUUAAAGAAUCAAAGAAAAUAAUUCUUAUGUUUGAACCUGUACAUUCCAAAUUCUCAUGCAUUUAAAAAAUUUAAAAAAUUACCAGUAACACUGAUAGCAUUCACCUAAAUCUUUCACAGUGCACAACUUCCAUAAUUUCAAUUGUGGAAGUUAAGUCCAUAAUUUUUUACAUUCCAUUUUUUGCAUUCACCUAAAUAAUGUAAAAUGAGUUGUUUAAAACAGUAUUAAAAACAAUGAAUCUACUUGAGGCCAGUUGUUUAACAUCACUAAUCUUGAUGAAAAGAAGCAAAUACAGACACAGCAACAAAGAUGAAAGAUAUGAUCCAACGCAUAGAAACGAUCACUAACCACAGUGAGACAUUUACCAUAUCAUCAUCCUCAUAUAGAACCCCCAGCAAGUAUGGCGCAUCAGGCUCUCUCCACGGAAGCCUAUGAUAGACCAAUUCCGAACCGACCCUAAACAAAUUGAUUAUGUCAUUGAAAAAAAAAAAAAAAAAAAACAUAAGAAUCUUCUAUAUGCAUAAGAGCAGACAGAAUAUAAAGCCAUAUAGCAUCCAUCAAACAAAUAACACCUGAGGAUCGUACUGGGAUCUCUAACAACUUCGCCAUCAACUGUUAUCUGUAGACCAAUAAAUAAAGCUGAGAAUUUCCAAAGCACGCGUUUACAUUUCUCAUAACAAACUUUUCCAUGAUUUUCAAUAUUCAAACCUGGCCGUUCCGAAUUCUCUGCAACCAACUGCAAAACUAUCAUCAGUACAGAUUUUAUAUCGGUUCUUCAAAAUAAGCAUAUUUUUGACUGCUUAAAAGACCAAACUCAAUUCUCCAAGCAAACAACAGAGGAUAGAAAGCAAAGAAAGCAAUAGCAAUGUGGCAGAAGUUGGGAUAGGCUGCCUGCUUACCCUUGUAGAGGAGCUGAGUUCUUAUACUUGCUCGAGUAGAACUCGAUCAGUGUCAGUUCUAUAAUUUACACCAACACUAGGAGUCAAAUUCAGAGAAAGAAAACGACGGUGAAGUUUAAAUCCAAAAAAGCAUCGAUUUUUAGCGCAUGGACUGCGUUUGGAUGCUGAGAAAAUGCAGUAAAGGAAAAAAUAUAUAGAAAAGGCUAUCUUUAUCUUUGAGAAGAGGGAGAGAAAGAGGACCAGAAUCGGAGGCUCGAACGACGUCGUUGUAGAGCAAGCCGUGGUUGAGAUCGGGCCAGGGCAAUCCGAAUGUCUGAGGCUGACGUGUUGGCGAAGAGCUGGACAUUGUAACUUAUGCAAUUCAAUUUUCAACCCAGAAAGAAAGAAAAGAAACUGACUUUCAGUGAAGAAUGGCUGCUGCCUACUGCCCGACGUCGUUCCCGGGUCGGUUUCCGACCCGCAACUGAACUGACUUCUCCAAAAGUUUGUGUGCCCGACUGUGGCUAAUGUGAAGUUUGAGUUUUGCCGGUAUUCCUUUAACCGCUACAAACGGAAAAAAAAAGAAGGAAAUUUCAUUUGUUAACAAUAAAUAUUUAGGGACUCUAUCUAUCCAACCGACAAUGUAUAAGAGCAUUUGCUUGUGCAUCUGAAGUUUUAUGUUCGAUUCUUUCUUUUACAUUUGUUUGUGCAUCUGAAAUUUUAUGUUCAAUUCUUUCCUUUUACAAUAAAUACAUUUGAUUGUGAGGUUGUUACAAAUUUAAAUAAAUGAAAAUUAACUAUUAUUUGAUAAAUACUCCAGCCAUGUGACCAUUUUGAUUAGGUCUUUCUAAACCUUUAUCGAUGAUUGAUUUAAAUCUCAUGAACAAUCAUCUCAUGAACGAUAAUUGUUGAGGUAUAAGGAUUCAAACUUGUAUGGUAGUGGAUAAGAACCAAAUUAACCAAUAUUGAAUUUUAUAGUUUAGACUAGAUUACCUUGUACAACUAUUACAGCUCAUUUCCAUCUCAUCUCUCCACAGGAUACAGGUCACAUAGCCAAAUACAUAUUCAAAAUGCAAACAAAUUUGGACAGUUGACCCAAAUUGGACGGGAACAAUAAAAAAAAAGGAAAGAACUUCGAUUAAAAAAAAUAAAAUUCGUGAUUCGCAUGAUACAUUUAUUCUCCUCUUAAGUCUUCAAAGGACACAGACUCUGUUUAGAGGCACAAAUGAACUUAGUACAGGUAGACUCUGUAAAAAUACAUAGAAAUGAUGGAUCAAUGCCAUCAAAAUUCCAAUAACAAUCAGCAGAACACAUCGGUUGAGGAAGAAGGCGUAACCUGAAGAGCAACUGAAUUCCACUCCUCAAUGUCAUUGCAGUGACCAGUUUUCGCUUUAAGCACCUGUAACUCGCUUGUCCCACCAACAGAGGUUUCAGUCACAGACAAUUUUUUAGCAGCCACUGCCUUCAGCCGGUAUCGCUCUGCUCUCGAGCCAAUGACCUGUCCUAGCACUGAUGCUGCAAUGGUAAAAGCCAUGGCUGAUUUAGGCAUCAGCACAGACUUCCGAAGUAUGGCUAUGAAUGGAACAGCUGCAUGCACAGCAGCAAACCAAGAUGGUGAAAAUUUCUUGGUGUGCUCCCUCCAUACCCCUAAAGGAACAUUGGCUGCCAUGCCCAAUGCUCCAAUCACAAGUACUUUUUCAGGAAGGGGUUGUGGGCGGAGGUUCUUUGCAAAUGCAGUUCGUGCCAGAGCUGCUCGGGCUGCAACUAUAGCUGGUGGGCACUUAAUUUUCAUCCCUGGAGGGGGCUGAAAAGCCUUUGCAACAAGCGGAAUUACACCACUAACAGCACGGUAUGACUUCGCGAUCGGACAGCUUCCAGAUUGCAGCCACUCAUUACUCAAAGCCUCGUGAUUAGAAUUUCCUCCCUGAAAAAUCAAUUCCAAAUAUGAUAAGCACCGGGAAAAAAAAAAAACUUGUCUAAUGAUAUGAAGUAAAAAAUUCAACAAAAUCACAAGAAAUUUCAAAACUUAUAAUAUGUCAAUUACUCAGCAAGCUGGGAAAUUUGUAGUGUGAAGCAACAAUCAAUUUACCUUUGAAGAAUAAUCUUUUUUGGAGGAAUUGGAUUUUCGUUUCUGAUUCUUCCACUUCUCAGAGAAUGCAUCAAAGCUGAAUGGCCCUCCAAAGGAUGAGAGACUGAUAGUGGCUGCCUUUGCAGCUAAUGGAUUAAACAUGGAUGGGGCUGGUUGAGGCUCAACCAUGUCAGAAUGCACAAAUGAUCUUCCAGAAAGGGGGACUACCCCAUCACUCCCAUGGAAAAGCCUAAAUGCCAUGUCAAAAUUGGGACCAUCUUCAAAAAUUGGACCUUUGCCGCCGCGUCCCUGAUCAAGAAAAGUAGAAAGUAGUAUCAGAAAAUGGCUCAAUUUCAAUCAAGCAGCUGUAAGUGCCAAUAGGAGAUGCAAAUAACCAAAAGUACGCCUACAGUAACAUAGAAAACAAUAGAAGAUGCAAAUCAUCGAAAGGAAAUAUAACUUACAGGCACUGGGAAGGCCAAGGAUGAGGCAAAGGAAAAAUUGGUGGGCUCAUUGAUGUUUCUCAAAAACGGGCAUCUGAGAAUGUCUAGGUCAGAAGGCACACAAUCUUCAUUUGCAACUUUGAAAAAGGAAUCCAUUCUUAAUGCGGAGAAAAGUGACCUGUAAAACGAGGUAAAAUGCAAAAUCAAUAACUCCUGCUUAGUACGAAGAGUAAGAAAACACAUGCUUCUAAAUGUUACCAAAAAUAUGAACAUGCCAAUAAUCAGAUAUUGAUGCAGCAUCUAAGGUAAACAAAUAGUCAUCACAUCAUAAAGUUGUCAACAUUAUCUUGCAAGCACGAGCAUCCAAUCCAGGUCUUAGUCAAGAUAAAAACCAAAAUUUCUCAAAAUUCUAAACCCACCCACAGGCCAAAACCGGCAGAUAUUAUUUGGUCAAAUGGAUAGUCAUCGAAAAAGCUUAUUCUGAAGUUGAGAAAAUGCUAUGCUUAGAACAAGAACUAAAAGAAAGUCGAGAACCCCAGUUAAUUGAAAAUCAAAAUCAGGACUUUCCUCAAUCUUUACUUAAUAACACAAAAUCUGUCACCAAAAUAACGAUCUUGAUUAAAUUACGGAAAAUCCAUCAAUUUAGACCAGUCAAGACUCGAGUUCAACAUCAAUUGGAAAUCGUCGGAAAUCGUCAAGAUUUCAUUUCCCGAAAAAUAUUAUGCUGAAACAAAUCAUCCAACUCAUUUUAAACCUCUUAAAACCCAUCAACUUACUCCAUCCAAAUACAUCAAUUUAAACUGAAAAUCAAACAAGAUUACCAACAAAAUCAAGAAAGACAACAACUUUGAAGAAUACAAUGCAAUUCACGAAGGCGUCAAUUCCAAACCAGAAAAUUACAAGAACCCAAAAGCAAGAAGAUAGAAAUCGUACCUUGAGAGAGAUUUUGCGAAGGGAAGAUUGGAAGACAGAGAAAGCGAGAGAGAGAAAGAGAGAGAGAGAGAGAGAGAGAGAGAGAGAGAGAGAGAACAAGAUGAAGAUGAUGAGGAAAGGUAUCGGUGGUGUUAGGUGGAACCGAAAUUGACUUUCGUUGGGGAAAAUGAGAGAGAGGGCUCAGAAGGCUUAAGAAGACGACGUCGUGGUGAGCACACGCUUUUUUACUUGGAUGGAGCUCUCUAAGUUGGAAUGGGAAAAGAAUUCGGUUUCGGACCGGUUUUGGUUAUUCGGGUCCAAUCUAUGACGUGGUAAGUUGUUGAACGUCUUUGAUAGCGGGGCCCACCCGAGUCCAAGUCCAAGUCGCUGUUGGUGUGUACACCACGUGCCUUUUUUCAUUUUUCAUUUUUGUGUGGAGUGGAUGAAUUGCCUUUUUGUUGAAUAACAAAUAUUAAAUAAAUAAAUAAAACUAUUUCAUAAUUUCUUCUUGGUGUGUGCAGCAAUUAUGAGAGACGUGUUUCACAUUUUUUUGGCAUAUCACGUUUUCACUACUUAAAUUUGGAGCUUUAUGAUCGAUCGUAGAGUUAGUACAGUUUUUUUUUUUUUUUUCCAGUUAAAUCACAUAUUUAUUCUUAGAUUUUGUUUGCAUGUUUAAUUUAAUAACGUCUUCGGAUAAAAGAAUAACCAUUCUUAAUCAUUUGAACUUUACAAACUCGUUUUUUAUUUAUAAAGAUUUCACAUAAAGGACAACAAUGAAGGUGUCCACACAUCCCACGUCACUGCUGAAGUAAGAUUUGAUUCUAACCUCUACAAUUGACUUUGUCAUAGACUGUAUCAUUCAGGCAGUUAAGACUUUAAGCCAUGGACCAAAACAAUAAAGCAAAAGAGAUUAUUUGUUGUUUUAAAUUUUAUAAUCCCCAAGUCUAACCAUUUUUACUGAAUUUCAGUCAAACUCAUACAAAUAGCCAUCUGAUAUUGCCAGUGGCUGAGUGCAUUUUCAUAUUACAAACAGGAAAUGUAAAUGAGACAGGAACGCCUCUAAAUCAUGGAACAAUAGAAGGCUGGCUGCUAAUUGUAUAGAAAGAUAUGAAAGUGCAUACUUCAAAUGAUGAUUAUAUGCCCAUGACUAAACCUACAAUCUUAGACAAAAAUUCCAGUUCUCUGCUAAAAAGAAGGAUCAGGUCAGUAGCCUAAGAAGAAUGGAACUAGCAAUUAUCAGUAACAGAGGCCUUUGGCUGGGAGAUGUCCGUCUCUGCAAAAGUUAACCUAUAUCAUACAACCUAUUCGGGAGUUGGCUCCUCGACAGAUUUCCUGUAUUCUGGUUUCAGCUCAUACGUCCCUUGAUUAGCUCCCUUGUUGUUGUAAACACAAAGUUCCUUAAGUAUGUCUUUCAAGAAUUGCUGCAAAGGGACAAAUUCAUAAGAACAGUCACAUUUCCAAAAGUACGAGUAGAAGGAUGAUAUAACGAAAAGCUUAAAGUUAAUCAAAGAUCAUCAGGUUAUUGGUGUGUUACAAGUUCAAAGGAUAAGUUUCUUAUCUAGCUGCCUUUAAAUUAUGUUUUUCCCACUUAAAUGCAUAUGGGAUUUAGUUUCUUGAUUCUGCUCAUCUUCUAUAUUUAACCAUGUGUAAUGCAUUCAUCUCAAUAUCUCUCAUACUUCCAUUAGUAAAAGUAGCAUUAUGAUUGCCUAAUUUUGUGCUAUUUAACAGGGAGGAUGUCUUCAAAUUUCCUCUGUUUGGAAAAUUUUCAGCAAUUUUCCUUCUCAAUAUUUAGUAAGGUGUCUGUACGAGGAUAUUCAGGUAACUUUCCUUGUCAGUAAAGCCAUGCAUGUAUGAAUACGGUAUAUGCAAGUAACAAGAUGGGUCUUACAUUAAUCUGGAAAAAGACAGAUUAAGAUAGUAAUUCUAAUAUUAAGAUUCAAUGGGGGAAGGCUUAUAAAUCAUGCAGAAAGAAAUAACUAGAAAACAUAACAUACUUCUGGUUGAUCUGUUUCUUGGAUCAGUUGUCUUAACGUCCAAUUUGGUUGCCUUUCGAAGAGCUUAAACAUAAUGGCUUCCAUUUCUCCACGGUCCCUCCUUGUUCUUUUCGUGUCUGACCCCUUUGUUGGCAUUUUCUUCUUUUCCUAUAUGAAAGACAAUUCUUCUUAUGCUUAAUACUUAAUGGUGGAUAAUCAAUACUAAAAUCAAAUGCCAACAUACAAAUGCAGUCCCAAAUAAUGUGACUGUCCAAUGGAAAGCAUGGACCACUUUUACUCAGGAACGAUAUGUACAAAAAGAAGGUGGUUUCACGUACACUGGGUCCAGGAGCUAUAAAACCAAUCAUCCCUGGCAUAGGCCUCAUAUGAGCCCCAUUGUCAUUGUCAAUCACCUGAAAAUUGGAAAAAAGGGACAAAUUAGUGAUUAUACUACUGAUAACUCUUAGAUUACUGAAAUAGAGUUUGAGAAAAAUAUAUAAAGUAAUCCAAGGAACCUGAAUCUUUCUGUUUUUCAUAUACUUUUUCGUCCGUUCACGGCAAAGUUUCCCAUAAUUCUCAAGGUUCUCAUUAUGGGGCUUCAUAUCAAAUUUGUUCAAAAUUUUCCCCUCCACAGAUAACUUUCCUACGGUCACAAAAGAAUUUCACACAUUCAGUUGAGAGUGCACAAUGGACAGCUAAAGUUAAUAUGUGCUUGCAGCUCUGUUGAAGUAAUAUAACCCCAAUCAAUUUUUAACAUUAUGUUUCUGAUUUCGAGUAUCACACCUUGUAAGCAUAUCUUUCGCUAAAAUAAAUUGAAGAGUUAGAACUAACAAGAACCUAAACUAGAAAUAUGUGAUACUAAAAUGUAGCUGAGAAGAAAUUGAAUUCCAAUCACAAAUUUAAAAAGCCUAACCCAGGAACUUGGGUAUUUUCAUUUCUUUGUGGCACUAAAAGCUGAUUUCAACACAAAACCGUGCAAGCCAACAAUGUUAUUCUUCUCUACCUAUGAUGCAACAAUCUGUUGGAUGUAGCAUGUACCAUUUUAACUGAAGUAAAAAACUAUCAAUUUUUAAAUGCUAGCUUUUAACAAAAAUAAAGGAGCAGAAAAGUUUAGCAUGAUGUCAAGUGGAUACCCAACUAGAAUAGAAGCAUCAAUAUGUCAAGCCAAAUGCAUUUCAGCAAAGAAAAGCCACAGAGGAAAGAGGCAUACUUACCUUGUGAUAACUCAGAAAACACAGACAUUGGAAUGAAGUCUUUAGACAUAUCCAAAGAGUAACACUUGGGCAUAUUUCCAGAUUCAGUGGCCGCCAGUUCCAUGGUGAACUGCAUUUUAACAACUUAUGUAAAGGAAAGGGCAACAAAAGAGGAAAUCUACAUGGAUGAGUGAUACUAUCAUACUAUAAAGAUGAAGACUUUAACCCAAAACUUUGUAGAACAAUAAAAAUUGAUAGAAAAGCCAGGACCUGGGUCAUGAAAACCUAACUUGUAAAUUGGGUUUGGAUAUAAACACAUAAAGAGCUGAACUCUAUUAAACCCACAUCAUGAAAAUUCUUAACCCCAAAAUGAAAACUUUGGGAAAAAUGAUAAAGAAAGAAAAAGAAAAAAAAACACAAGAAAAUGAGCAACAAAACCCAGCAAGCAACAGAAAAUCCAUAGAAAAGGGCAUGCAUAGGAUCAAAGACCAAAGCUUUAUAAACAAGAAAAUGCACAAGAAUUACAAAGAUUAUGACCGAAACAACAAUGCAUGCACAAAAAAGUAAAAACCCAAAAGGGAAAAACGUCAACUUUUUGAGUUGUCGAGUAAAUGGAAAAGAAAAAGUACCUGAGGAGAGGAAGAGUCGUCAUUGGAGUUAAGAGGGUCAAUGGAGAGAACGACCUUGGCCACAGGGCGAGAAGACUGCUGAUCAGAUGGAGAAGAAGCAGAGGCAGAAGUGGAGGAGGCGUCAGGCUUGAGACUUUUAGCGACAAGCGGUGGGCAUUUCAUGAGCCAAACAGCUCGCUCUGCUCUGGUCGUCUCCAAAGGCCCAUUGGCAUUGUUGUUGUUGCUGCCUUGUUGCUGCUGUUGCUUUUGGUCUUCCAUGUUGGCGCCACAGCCACAGGGUUCUUUGUUUAUUUGUUGAGCUUUUGAGCUCGAGAGAACGAAAACAAACGGUUUUUCCGGAUCUUUCUCCAACAGUAUGCUUUCGCUGCCUCGGACCUGGGGGCCAUUGGGUUUUAUUUAUAUAUAUAAGAUAUGAAAUGGACUCUAUUUUUGUUUACUCGUAAUUUUUUCUCUCUUUCUAUUUUUGUUAUCGGGUGAUUUUAUUUGUGACAAUCGAUAGCACUAGGUGAGAAUCGAAUUGAGUUGACUCGAUUCAAGUACUCAUCGGUUCAAGUCAUCGAUUUAAGUACUCAUUGGUUCGAGUCGAUUUAUGGAUUUGUGUAACUUUGUCUUAAUUCAUAGCACUAAGUGACUCAUCGAAUCGAGUCGACUCAUCGAUUCAUGAAUUUGUAUAACUUUGUCCCAAUCCAUAGCACUAAGUGACUCAUCGAUUCAUGUCGUGUUUAAAUCAUAUCAUUUAAGUUACUGUUAAAUACUUUGAUUUGUUUAUUCAUGUCGUGUUUAAAUCAUAUCAUUUCAAUUAGUGUUAAAUACUUUGAUUUGUUUAAAUAAUCGUGUCGAGUGUUUAAACCAUAUCAUUUCAGUUAGUGUUCAAUACUUUGAUUUGUUAAAUAAUCGUGUCGAAUGGCCUAACCCAAACCCGACCCAUUUGUUUAAUCCUGUUAAGUUGUGGACAUGUGUUAGGCAUUAGUCAUACAUGGUAGAGCAUGAACAGAACAACAUCCAUUUUGCAAGGAUAUGGAGAGCUUCUCCCUUGCAAGAACAUGCAUUAUAGAAAGAGGUACAACCCCAAAGAAAAAUAUAUAAAAAUGAUGUAAAAGCUUGAAUUUUUGGAAGAAUAAUAGUUCCAUUCAUGCAAGAAUAACAAAAUGAACAAAUCCGAUUCCCGAAUUUGAGAUUUAACAUAGAGAUAGAGAUAAUACAAAUAUGCUAAAAUAAUAGAGUAUAAAUUACACUCAACAACAUCUUGAUAUUUUCUCCCGUUUCUUGAGAUCAAGCCAUAGCCAAAAAUAGUAUAUGGGGUAAGAUUUGUAAUGGUGAUUAUUAAAACCAGUUUAAGUUACAUAGUUGAGUAGAGCAGUGUUCAUGAUGGAACUGAAUCGGAGUUGUUGCUGCCGAUGGAAUUCUGCUUCCUUUCUGCUUGAAGUGAUCGGCACAAGGAUUCAAGCUUUUCUUUCUGAUUCUUUGUUUUCUCCAACUGUUUCUUCAACCGUUCACGCUGCUCAGACCAACAUAAAAAUCUGUGUUAUUCCUCAUCUAUGCUGUUUCUUAGUAAGGCAUCAUAAAGGCAUAUGCCUGAGUUCAACGUUUGAUGUUGAUUGAUGAGUAAUUGAAAGAAAAAGAAACAAAAAGGUGCAUGCAAACUAUACCUCAUCUACGAGUUCUAUAAGAGUAACAUCUGUUUUCUCACAUUUGCUCUUCAAGAAUAAAUUUUCCUUCUUGAGUUCCUUGAUAGAUUUUGCCAUCUACGAUUUUGCACAUGUAACAAACAGGGUAGCUUAGUUUAAAACAAGCAUAUCAUGCGAGUUACACCAUGCUAGAGAAAUCAGGAAAAGUGUGUCUAAAUGAAAAUGUAAUUUGAAGAAUAAUUCACCUUUUCGAUCUCCUGUUUAAAUGUCUCAAAAACUUCAUUGCUUUUCAACAAUGCAUCCUACACAACAAAUAUAAUACUUAAUUAAGACCAGAUAGAGUUGUGUAUUGAUAACACAAACAUUCGGCUUGAAGCACUUGUGAGGUGAUCCGCCAAGUAUCUGAAAGGUCCAUUCUGAAAGAAGAAUGCUCAAAUUGAGCACAAAGAGUAGGUUGCCUUCUCUUCAGUAUUGCCUACUGAAGACAUACAUUGGAAGGCUCUAAGCACACUUUUUUUAAUAUUUGAAUGAUAUACAUAGAGCAAGGAGACAGAUGGUGAGUUCACUUCUGCCAAUCAAUUUGAAAGUUGCCAAUUUUUGGCCCAACUCUCAUCCUGUUAACAACUAGGACUUAUAAUUCCAAGUAACUCAAAGAUACAUAGAGCAAGGAGACAGGUGGUGAGUUCACUUCUGCCAAUCAAUUUGAAAGUUGCCAAUUUUUGGCCCAACUCUCACUCUGUUAACAACUAGGACUUAUAAUUCCAAGUAACUCAAAGAUACUAAUCACAGAAAGAUCAUGAAAUCACAAGUUAUUGAUAUUAUCCAUCGAUAACCAAGGUAAUCUCUUUUCUUUGUUUCAUGACAUUGAAUAACAUAUCAAUUAUGCAACAACCAAUCUCCUAGAGUGUAAUCUACGUGAGACUCAACCUACUAGCAUGGCUACAUAACUAACACCAUACAGCCUACAGGGAAAAUGAACCAACUCAGUUUUGUACUCUCGAGAAUUCUGCAGAGAAAUUUGACAGCCUCUAACUAAGUAGUUAUUCAUUCUGGUGACAGUUUCAAAGUAAUGGUUUAAAGCAACACAUAACACAGAAGUUGACCUGAAAUUGUUGGAAUUUCUCUCCAUCAGCUGUCAACUGUAAGCGCAAAUUCUUUUCAGUUGAUAGUAACUGUGACACCUGUUCUGCAUAUAGUUUCAUCUGGGACUGUUCCUGGAUUAACUUCUCUUCAUGCUGCUUAAUCUUCAAAUCAGCAAUUUGAAGCUCCAGAGACUUCUGCUUUAACUGUUAAUUCAAAACAAAGCCACUAAAGAAAAGUUAAGUCCCUACCUAAUAAAGUAAACAAUCAUUAUAGGUAAACUAACGUCUUUUGUACAAGUUACAGUUAAAUUUUACCUUCUGUUCAUAUUGCUGUUCAGAAAGAGCAUACUGAUAGGUGAGCUGCUGCAGCUUGGUUCUUAACCUGAAAAUGAAUGAAUGCCAAUUUAACUAAUUUUAACCAACAAAGACAAAUUAUAGACAGCCAAAAAAAGAAAUAAACCAAUGAUAUCAAUCAACCAAGUCAACAAAAAAGAUACAGAUUCUUUGUUGUCAGAGAUUUAUAACAAACAAUACAUGACAUUAUCCUAUAUAAUAAUAUAUGACACAUAGGAUGAAAUUAAUCAAGUUCAGUCUCAUUGACACAUGCACGUGCAAGGGAUCUCCAAGUUAAGUAAUUCAAGUUUGCUUCAGUAUAUGCAUCAAGAUAGUAAGCACAUGUUUUCAUGACAUCUGGCUCUUACAUUUCAUUCUCCUUUAGCUGAGAGAUACAUUCUUCUUUUUGCUCAUCUAGCUUAUUGCUCACAUCCUAUAACCAUAAGAACUUAAUGUUAGAAUAUCAUUUAAAAAAAGGCAUUGAAAAACAAAUAAUGCACUGAACAGAUAAAUUUUGCUUUCAAAAUGGAAAGGAACUAGUUCUGAGUUCCAAUGUUUGGAAAGAAUACAAAACUUGUUAAUUAACUGAACUCUUAUUGCUUGUAUGCGCUCUCUUGAGCAUGUAAAUAAUCAUGAUUCAUGACAGAACAGAAAUCUUGUCUGUUUUUCCUUUUCAACACACCCAGAAUUGUAAGUUGAGAAAAAAUAUGGACAUUGAGUGUUUGGAACUUUAAAAGAUCUCAUGUUUUGUAGUGUAUAAUAGAGGUAAUGUUUCUUCAACCUUGGAUUAAUUUUACCUUGUCAACUUACAAAUUAAUAAGCCAACAACUACAAAUAUUCAAAUCCCCUGAAGAAAAGCUAUUAUAUUAUAAAUUGUCAAACCUUUAUUGCAUCUUGGAACUUGACUGAUAAAUCUAAUCUCAAGUUCUGCCCCUCUGUUGACACCCGCUUACACUCAUCCUGUUUAAAUGAUCAGGAAGCCAUCAAUGUUUCUAGGUGGGCGAUCGAGUAUUGAUCAACUUCACAACUUAUCAUAUCAAACGGUAAGAUACAGUCAAAGUAGAGAAGAUAUCGACAUAAAAAUUGUAAAAGAUCACAAGUCAAUAAUGUGAACUUAUCAUUUCAAAAUGUUGAAUAUAGCGGACAUGAUGAUAACAGCAGAUCUUAUUUAGAUGAACUGAAAAGUUUCACUCAACUCCACAAAAAUUUAUCCUUUUUUUCCUUCACCAAAUAUUUCUCAAUCACUAAUGAUAGAAAAGAAUGCAGAAUCACCCAAUGCACCCUUAAUUCGUGAAACAACCUAUGCUCAAGCUCAAAGUAAUGGGAGAACGAAGAAAAACAUAAUCAAUACUUUCGAGUGCCUCUUUGCACAUUUGCUAUUUUACUAAAAAAAAUGAAAAAAGGAAGACAUCGAGGGCAACUUGUCACAGGCCUGCAAUGUAGUUAAGUGAGCUUUGUCAUGGGAUGAAUAAAAGGGAGUCGUACAAGGCCCAGAUAUAUGUAUUAAGGGUACAUCCAAAGGUUGUAAAAGCUAGUUUCUGACAUCUACUUCAAUUCACCAAUGGCUAUUAAUAGAAUGGUCAAAUGGAACAUAAACAAGUUAAAGAAUUACACUGAGAUGAAAAUUAUGAUAAUGAACAUCUAGGAAAAUAUGAAAAUAUGAAAGUUCACAAAAAAAUCAUUUUAAGGAUAUGCAGUCAGUCAAGAUAGCAUACCAUUAGCACUUUGUUCUGGCGUUGUAACUCCCUGCACAACGACUCAAGCUUAUCUCGAACAGAAAUGGCUAGAAAGAAAAGAGGAUGCAAGUAAAUAAAUAAUAAAACCAUCUACAAUACUGCUCAUAAUCAAUAAAAAUCCAUGUAUAUAUACAAUGAAGGUAUGCCACUGCACUAAGACUUCGCAAAAGCUACAUCUUUCCAUCAGAAAUUAAUCUUAAUUUAGGUUAUCAACAUUAUCACAUCUAGUUACUGAUAAUUGGCAAUUAUUCAUCCCCUUUGACUUCAUGAAAAUUUAUGACACACAAACAUCAUAUGUGUAAGUAGUCCAUUUCUACAUCAACUAUUAUACUACCACAUAAAUGCAUUAUACUUAACAUUCACUGUUCCUAAACAAAUAUAUGAUUUCUCCCACAAUAACCCUAUCGGAGGUGUAAACAUCAGUAUAUUAGUUAUGGAAACACUGGGUGUAAACAUUAGCACAACUAUCUCAAAAUACCUGAAUCUCUUUCAGCAAGAACUUGUUGAUACUUCAAGGUGAACUCUAUGAACUCCUUUUCUGAUUUAAAGGUACGCUUUGCACUCUUACGUUUGGUUUCAGUGGAUUCCUGAGGCAAAAUUAGUCCAAAUUACUAACCUUACUGAUGACUUACAUGUAUAACAUAUUUGUGUGAUAGGUAAACAUUUAUGUGUCCGUGGGAAUGUGGUUGCAGCUACACAUUUUGAGUGAAGAUUGCAUCACAAAUAUUAGUCUCAACAAAGAAAAUCACACACACGAUUUCUUGCAUAGGUUGCAAGGAUCAACAACUGUACAAAUUGAUAUCAUAUAAAAAAGAGAUCAAGUAAUACGUAGUACUAACUGUCUUUUUGCUUUUCAGAGUUUCAACACUCUCCAAUGAUGAUGUUUCCUUCACAUUGGCUGCUGACGAAUCUGAGCCUCCUUCAGUCGCUGAAAAGCAAUGAGAAAUGAGGGUGGCAAACUAAUGUCAAGAGAUCAAAUGAAAAAGACCAGAUAUAAUAGUACACAUUUUGACUUAAAUUUUUCAAAAAGGGAAAAUCACAAAGGUAAAGAUAUUUACGUCUCUCUGAACUUUGACAUCUUGCUUCAACUUGUUCCUUUACCUCACUGCAUUCAGGUACCCCAACUGAAGUCUCAGAAACAGAAUCAGCUGAGUCAGGCAUGACUAGCGUACCUCCUUCUUCUGUCUGCUCCGUAGAAGCCCUUUUGGGCACUUGAACUGAUUCCACUGAAACAUCAGAACUAUCAGUUUCCGAUAAUGGAACAGGAAAGGUUCUCAGUUUCUGGGUCUUCUCUGUCCUACCCUGACUUGUUUGAAACUCAUCUGCAGCCAAUUCUUCUACAGGUUCCUUUGAACGAUCUAUAUCUGAGGCAAUAUCAUCCUCACGAUUGUCCAGUGGCUUCUCUUGUUCAAAGGUUGGAGUUGGAGGAGCCAGGGGCUCUGGAGGGCUCUCAACAAACCCAUCAGGCAAUGAAUCAACUUCAGGAAGCUGAUUUGCUUCUGGGUUCUCCAUUUUUACCUACAAUCUUCAUCAUGCAUUCUUAGAACCAUCAACAUUUAUACCAUCCUAAGAAUUAGAACAAAAAAGCCCAUCCCUUUACAGAGGGAUGAGAGAGCAAGAGCCAGAGACUACAAUCUAGUUUUGCAGCUGCUGUCAUUCAGGAAACGGCAACACUAGAACCCAUUUGGUUGCUAAGAAAAUUUGAAGAGAACCCAAGAGAAACUCAAAAAGAUUCCAUAUUUAAGCUGUUUAAGAUAUCCUAGAAUGAAAUUGAAGAAGUGCCCAAGUAAAAAACCACACCAACUAUGGCUAAAAUCUCAACCUUGGGUUAAAUUUUCACACUUUCACUGGGAAACCAACCCAUAAAAGAAACAAAUUCAUUCUUACUUUAUCAAGAGAAAAAUAAGAAAGAAAACGAAAAUUUCAAACACCCUAACAAUCAACCAUCGGCAUCAUUGAGCAAUCUGAACAGUAAUCAACGAAAAUUGAGAGAAAAAGAAAUGAAACAAAGAGAAAGAAGGAGACAUUACCAGGUAGAUUAUGAAAGAGAGAGAGAGAGAGAUUGAACUGAGACAAUGGAAGUGAUCUCUCUAUCUGUGGAAAGUGUCCAGUGCGUGCGUUCCGUAGAAGAACUGAUCUUUGUGCUGCGCUUUUUUCACUCACCUUCACUCCACCUAGUUGUUGUGUUAGACCGAGAGAACGACACUUUUCGUUCUCCUAAUUUAUUAAUUUUCUCUCAUAUUUUUCAUUAGUCUGAAUUGAGCAUUUUGUACCCCAAUUCAUUUUUAUUUUUAUUUUUAUUGUUUGAUAAUAUUUCCCAUAUAUAUAAUUUUUAGAAGUUAGAAAGGGAAGGGGGAAUGUCACAGACACUAGUACCAUGGCAUACACGAUAUGUUUUCUCAUAUUGAACCUAUAAUCCUACCCUUCAACAUGUAGCAUAUGAGGUUGUUGAGCCUACCACGUAGAUAGUAUAUUCUUAUAUCAAUGACUAUUCAUGAAAAUUGUGAAAAUUUGUUCAAACACAGAUAAUUUUUUAAAUGAAACUUCAAGAAAUGUUAAAUCGAACAAUAAUUAAUCUAUUAAACAAAUAAAUUUCAUAAAUACCAUUUGUAUGAUAAUUAUAUAAAAGAAAAAAAAAAGGAUAUGACACUAAGUCAUAAGAAAAUUAUUAUAGUUCAAAAGUACAUAUAUAGUACGAAGUGACAAGUUUGGUCUUAAAUAUCAAGGUUUACUAUUAUAAGAGUUUUAUUUUAUUUGACAUGUUUAUUAAAUAUGCUCUUCAUCUAUAAUUAGAAUAAUACGUUACUUUUUCAUAAAAUAUAAAGCCAAAAAAACAAAGUUUCCGUCACGCAAAAUCAAAUGAGAUGAUGAUUUGUACCAUAUUCAACAGUUAUAAAAUAAGGAUUUUGAAGGAGAGCUAGGCAUGCACAAAACAUUCCUAUACCAUAUGAUAUGGCUGAUAUUAAGAAGCUAGGUAUGAUGGGGGUGGCUAUGGUGCUAAUUCUGUCCACCUUCGCCACAAAAACUGUCUUUAUCGCUGCUGAUAUAAUUAACGGCAAUGAGCUUAUUAAUGGUAAUGGCAACGGUAACAGUAAGACUAGGUAUCCCACUCUGAUGAACAGGAUAGAUAUGGGAGAAGGUGGUGGCGUGGGCAAGGGCGGUGGUGGGUGUAAAGGUUCUAUAUGCAAUAUGCUGGUGCUCCCUUGCAAGAGUGGGUGUUAUUGCAUCCCCUUUGGAAUUUUGCCAAUUGGGGUGUGCGCUGGUAUAUGUUGUAGCAGCUAUAUCAAAUUUAAUAUACUUUUUAAGUUCAUAAUAUGUGCAUUCAAUGAAAUAAUAUUGGUGGAGACAAUGUCUUUCUGAAUUUUCUGGAAAGAUGAGAGCCUACACCAACACCAUCCACAACAACAAACACAAAUAGGAAACGGACUUACACGAUGAACCAACUUACAAUAUACACAAGUCACCAAUUUAGUUGAGGGAUAUUAAAUUCAUGAGCAAGGAGAUAUAAAUGUUGGAUGCAACCAAAUUAUUUAAGAAAAUCUCUUAGGGCAGGAAAAUGUUUCCACGGACAGUCGAUGGUGGAUAGCUCUUCGUCCCAAAUUCCAAUCUUGGCCACCCUUAAAUUUGAAACUUUCACAUGAAAAUUGGAGUAGUUCAUGUAACAAUUGAAAUGAAACUCAAAUAUCCAUAUAAAGAAAUCGAUUUGGAGUGUUGAUUGUCGAUACAUUUCAAGUUCAAGAUCAUACCGAGGAGCGGAAACUGUGAUGGAACGAGUGUAAAAACUCAACCCACUUCGUCCCAAAUGCUCCAAUGCAACUUACUCAUUCUAAGGCUGAUAUCUAACCCUUUGACGCUUUUCUCAAAUGAGAAAUUCAACAACUUAUCUAUAACGUACGGCUGUGUCUUUGCAAAAGUAGACCAUGCAAAUUCUGAAUUUGGCUAAGAGAUCAUUUGUGUGCUCGUCUUUCUCAUGAUAUUACCAAAGACCUUGUCAAGAUAUUGUUGAUGAACUUUUUAUGGCGGAGUAAGUUGUCGGCAAAAGACGACAUCGUUGGGGGUAAUAAUCAUCAGAGUUGCUACUCUCGUCAAAAUCCUUGUAUAUUAUGUCAUGUUAAAAUAGGUUUAUUAGUGAAAUCCUCUUUCUUUUUCUUUCAUUCUUUUUUGUUCUCUCUCCCUUUAUAUUCAUCCUGAAAAGCCUUUUUAUUUCCUUGUCAUAUCAAUUGUCAAAUUAGCUAUCCACCUGAAGCUUCCUUCAAGUUUCACUUUUUUGCUACUUUUAUUUUCCUGGUUUGUCGAUGGGGUUUUUUUGAUUCGUGGGUUUAAUGAGGUGUAUCUAUUUGGUUUAGGGUUUGAAUGUUUUGGAGGACACAAAAAGAUAGCGUGAUUAGUUAUCUAUGAAACCGAACAAGGCACGAAAUUAACAUGAGUUAUUUCUAAGUUAGGCUGCCGUAUGGUACUAUUUCACAAAAGACUAGGCAGAUCCCAAUGAGGAAACUAAAUCAUGCAUAUUGCAUGCAAUUGUUGGUUAUAAUAACUUAUAUAUAAAUUACUCAGAAGAAGUAAUUAAACAAGAGCUCAAGAGAGAGACAGAGACAGAGGGGUACGUAGAAUCAAGAUAUUGGAAAACUAUGGAGAUGAUGAGCAACAAGUUAUGUUUUGCUGUGGUAAUGACCAUGGUGCUUACGGUGUCCACCUUUGCUCCAGCUGCCUAUGGAAACCCUAGCAAGAACAAUAUUGCUGAAGCACCCGCCUCUAAGCCUGACGCCAAAUGUGAUGCAAAAAUAAUCGAUGCCAAUAAUCUCUACGAUGGAAAUUUUGGGGUAGCUGCUCCCAUGGCUAGUCGUCUCAACGAGGAGAGCUUGGCGUUGAUGUCAGGGAGGAUGAAACAGCCAGAAACGAGUGGAGGUGUGGGCACCAUCAAUGGGUGCAGAGGCAACCUCUGCAAUUUUUUGGUGGCUCCUUGCCAGAUCGGCUGUGUUUGCGUUCCCAUUAACAUUGGACCUUAUGGGUUCUGCAGUGGCGUCUGUUGCUAGCUAUAGCUACUCCUAUUAUAACAAAUUAAUGUAUCUGCAUCCAUGAUCUAUCCAUUCAUGUAUGCAUGGAUGCAUUUCAUCUAAUCAUGAACAUCUACGUACUGAUCGAUUCUUUAGCAUGAAAUAACGUCGAUCGUAUAUGUACACGUACGUGUGUACUUGUGUACGGUUGUUAUGUUGUUGUCUAGUAUUAUUUAUACUAUUGGGAGGUAUGGGUUUAUCUCAUGCUUCUUUUCUCUUAGUUUGGUUUUCUUCUUCUUUUCCUUUCAGCUUUAUUUCAUCUUUUUGUGUUAUAUUGUGUUGGGUUAGGUACAUAUCACCCCUUGCAACUCUUUUCACUUGGUAAAUUAGGCUCAAAUUUAAAAUGUUAUGCCAACCUAACAUUAAAAAGAACACCUAUAAAAACCAUAUAUUAAAUAAAGUGUCCAAAGAUCAACUUUGGGUUUCCAUAGAAUUACUCCAUAAAAAAUUGUCCUGGGCCUACAUAGAUAGCUUACCCUCACCUAAAUACCGAAAUACAACCUAUGUUACAAGAAAAAUUCAAAGCUGGCAAAUCGAAUUUAGGACCUCAGGUGCAGAGGUAAAUGCUCUUAAUCACUUGAGCUACAAGCUGCUUGCAAUAAAAUAACAACUUUAGUAAAACUAGCUUUUUUACACCGAUGAGAGGGAGAGGAAAGAGAUUCAUUAAUUAUACUUAUAUAUAAGUUUUGAAGAGUAAUGUUAGAAAAACCACAAGUGAAUACAUACGCAUUUAUAUAAGCAUAAUGAUGUUUUAAUCAAAAUACUAAUUUAAUACGUCAACUUGAUCAAGUAUAGUUGUAGGCUACAUACAAUACAAACGCAAUUAUCUAGGGAAAUCUAAAGUGCAUUAGCAUUUAAUCAAUCAAUUCCAACAUUACUCACCACUAUAAAUAAAGGUUCAGGAUUUCCCUAAAAAAAUUAAUCAUAUUCUGAUAUUCAUAUAAUGGAGGGUAGCAAAGAGGGGCUUGUGCUAAUUUUAUUAGCCAUUUCUUUUGCAAAGUGGGGAAGGCAACAUUUCUUUCUUUGUUUCUAUACUUGAUCACGCGGAUAGAAAUGACCAGAACAUGGCUGAGUACUUCGCAAUCCAAAGAAAAGAAAUGCGUGGACACUUUUCAAAAUAUGAUCGACUCAAAUGUUGCGGAGAGCCUUAGACAAGUGACAAAAUCAAUCGAUGAGGUCCUUGGUAUGAUCCAAGUGCAGCAGCAACAUCAUCUUCAUCGUCAUAAUAAUGUUACUGCAGCUCCAGGUUCAGAUCCUGAUCCUUAUGAUCCUGCACUUUCACGGACGGCAGACGUCACCUUGUCACAGAAUGAGAGUGGGAAAUUCAAGAGAAUAAUGGAUGCCAUCAGGGACGGAUCCAGGAUUUCAAACUUGACUGAGCUAAAUUUAACUUACAUAUAAACAUACUAAGGCCCAGUUUGGGAUUGCUGUCACUUUUAAAAAAAGUUGCUUCUGCUAUGCUUCGAAAAUAAUUAGCUGUAAAGUAAAGCAGCUCCAUGUUUGGUAAACAAAAUUUGGCAGCUUUUAUUUCUUCAAUACGUAAGAGUUAGGUUAUUGUGGCGGCUUUUAACUAGAUUAACCUUAGGUCCCUUCAUGCAUUCAUAUUAUACAUGAAAAAUUAGGGGUGGGCACGGUCCGGAUUGGUUCGGUUUUACUCUCAAACCACAGCUGAACCAAUAAGAAAAUAACGGUCCGGUUUGGUUCGGAUUAGCCUAAAAUCAUAAUAGAAACCGAACCAAUCCAAACCACUUGUAAUCGGUUUGGUUCGGAUUGGUUCGGCCGGUUUGUGCCUAACACAAAACCAUGCAUUUUUCAACCUGCUCUUACAUUAUAAUGCUAACAUUUUGCCAUUAUAUCAUUCCAUUCCAUUCCAUCAAAGGCUAAUACAACAUCAUUCCAUUUAUUCAAAGGUUGUCCAAUGUCUAGCAUGCAUCUAAGUUCACAAUUUCCAUCAAAACAAACAUAUACAAAAUUUGCAUUAACCAAGUAGCAUUAAAUUUACUCAUUGCAUUCAUCACAAUACAAACAAAUGAAAAGCUUUUAUCACAGAGAGGUAAAUACUUUUAUCACAGAGGUGGAGUUUGAAUGCGUAUGAAAUUAUGAAAUGGACCCAUUAAUUAAGAUAGAUAGAGUAAGAAGAGCCACACAACACAAAGAGCAAACACACAUAGUAGAGAUAGAAAGAGAGGGAAAUACAAGCACACACAAAUAACUGGGAUAUGCAAAUUAGAAGAUCAAAACGUGCACCAAUAUUCAGAUACGCGGACUCACAAAACGCACACAAACCUUACCACAUGUAAACUAAAUUAAAUAAAUAAUAAAUUGAUUUAUAAUCGGUCUGGUUCGGUUUAGGACAGUUUUUAAAACUCUCAAACCACAGCUGAACCAAACCAAACCGGUUCGGUUCGAUUUUUCAAAAUGUUGACUUUUUCUUUGGUCAAAACCAAACCAAACCAAUCCAAUAUAAUCGGUUCGGCCGGAUUGACCGGAUCGGCCGGAUUGAUGCCCACCCCUAUGAAAAAUUGUUGUGUAAAAAUAUUGGCUAAGUAUGAAAAUAGUUUUUCGGAAUAAUUAUUUUCUCAAGAUAAUUUUUGGCGGCUUUUAUUCCUUACACAUCAAAUAAGAAAACUUAAUUUUAUGAGAUUUGAGUAUGAAAUAUAUAUUGACUUAAUGAGCCAUUAUUUUGAGCCUAAAUCUUAUUUUGCACUAAAACAGAUUUUUCAUAUUUUGAUUUAGUGAGAAUUUGAUUUUCUAGUAUUUUUAUUUGAAUCCAAAUGGGGGGUACUUCCUUAUUUACAUUGUAAACUUAAGUAAAUGGAGUAAUAUAAUAUAGCCCAGGUUAGCCAUGCCUAUGGUCCGUCUCUGGAUGCCAUUGCGGCUGCACCAAGCCAUAGCCAGAAGCAGUUUGUGAUAUUUGUGAAGAAAGGAGUUUACAAAGAAUAUGCGAAGAUUGAUAAAACAAAGACUAACUUGGUGUUGAUUGGAGAGGGCUUGAGUGUUACCACCAUAUCUGGAGAUAGAAGCAAUGCUAGUGGUUGGGCAACAAUGAAGUCAGCAACAUUUGGUAAGACACCAAAACUUCUUAUUUUUUUUUUUUUUUUUAAAAAGGCUAAACUGUUGAUUUCCCCUUAAAUUAGUACCUAAUUUUUUAUUUAACCCCUAAUCCUUUUUUUAUUUAUAGAAAAUUAAGGAUGUCAAUUAUAAGGAUCUCCUCUUAACUUGUCAAGACACCCAUGGGCUACAUGGGCACAUUGAGUGGAGUGGUUUGCGGGGGGGAGAAAGAGGGGAUGCUGGGUUUGGGUGAGUAUGAUGGGGUGGCUAGGGGAGGAUGGGCUUGGUGGGAGCGGGCUGGGGCUGUGCCAUACUCUUUUUUUCUUUUCUUUUUCUUUAUUUAAGCCCCACUUGAUAAAUGUUCCUUUGCCUGUAUUCAGAAACUCUUUGGAGAAGACCACGGAACUUGUGCAAAAUUGCAUGCUAGCGAAGAUGAUGAAAAUUCUACUAAUAUGGUCAUUACAUAUUGUGAGGAUUUGCUUGGUGAAACUGCUGAAGUCUUGGAUUGGUCCUUAUCGUGCUACAUAUUGUGAGUGUUACCACCAUGUCUGGAGAUAGAAGCAAUGCUAGUGGUUGGCAAACAAUUGAUUCACCUACAUUUGCUAAGGCAUCAAAACUUUUAUCCAAAUAAUUAAGAUAUUAUUUUCUUUUUCAAGACUAAAUAUCAAAGUAAGAUAACACAUGCCUCAUUUUAAUUAACUUUCAUUGAUUGCUGAUGUAGAUGUAAGGGCCCAAGGAUUCAUUGCAAUGGACAUAGGAUUUGAGAACACUGCAGGACCAAACACUACAAGUCCUACACGAUUACAUCCUGAUCCUCAGUCUAUGUUUAAGAUCACUUCAUCAAAUUUUUUUAUUUUUAUUUUUUUUCAUGGCUAUAAGUUUGGUCAGAGGUUCAGCUUGGUUGUGAAAAACUCAACCCAAUUACCCAACACACGCUUUCCUUCUUCAAAGAGCCAUGCAAUGACUGCCAUCACCUGGGCAACAAGAAGAAGAAAAAAAUUGUGAACAUUGAACAUAUUUAGCCCAACUUCGAAGCGCAUGAUGCAUCUUUUUAGAAGUUUAAAUUUUACAUUGUAGAAUAUAAAUCUUGUAAACUGAUCUCUAUCAAAGUGAACUCAUAACAUAUUAAACUAUUACAGUGUCAAAUCACGUUUUCAAAAGAUCUUACAGUGGGUAUCGUUACUAUGAAAAACUCUGUGGAAUCAGUAUCGCGGAAAAGCUCACGCCCUUUAAUCAUCCUCUCCCUGAGUCGCUCUAAUUUGUCAACCUGCAUAUUGAAGUUUUAGAAUUAGAAGGCUAGCAUACUAGUCUAGGAAGCAGAGUAUAAAAGCAGCUCAAAGCAUCAGCCUUACUGCGCUCAGUUGAGGUUGCUCUUGCCCAACGACAGAUUUGAUAGCUGAGUGGCUGAAGACAUCUUAUGUUUAAGCUGUAUAAGAGAACAAGCAAUUAGUAGCAACACAUGCCUACAUGCUGCAAUCAAGUGAUCCAAGGACCAGAGGAAAUUGCCUAUUCUUUUUGUUCUUUUGCCAGGAUAUUAUGUUGGUACGUAUAAAAGCAGAAAGGAGUGUUCUUUUGUUUUUUCCCUCAUUUUUAUCUUAACUAGAAUCAAGUAAUUAGAACAUUAGGUAUAGCUAUCAAACUUCAAAGGAGUGUUCUUUUGUUUUUUGUUUUUGUUUUUGUUUUUUUUUUGCUAGCAAACUUCAAAGGAGUGUUCAAUUGCUCAUAAACUAUAUCCAUAAAAGAAAAGGACACACACACACACACAUAUCCAUAGUUGUUCAUUCAAAGUUGACAUCAAUAUCUUGCCAAAUGAUGCUUCCAAAAAAGUCUGGCAAUGUUGAGGUGACAAAAACAGCAUCAAUAUCUUGCCUAAUUCCAACUAAAUACUAAUAAUUAAGGUGAAAAAAACAGGAAGAGCAAAAAAGAUUGUGUGCAUGUUGGCAAGCCAGAAAAGACAUACCUUUGGAAUUGCAAUAGCUUCAUCCAAACCAGGAGGAGAUGUGUCCAGUAAUUAUCCCAGUUUUCACUCUCCUAACUUCAGUCAUUAUUAAAAAGAAACACACAAAGGUUAAAGAGAAGCAAAGGAUUAUAAGUGAAUCUAUAGAUCAUAAUGUGAGCAUAAAAGUUGCAACAUGGGAUGAAUUCAACAGAUUUUUCAAUCUUUGUUUCAUUCCGCUGGUUCUAAAGACGUUGUGUUUCAAUAUAAAAUACAAGCACACUUGGAAGUACUAAUUUGUUUAUGGAAUUGUUGCCCCAAAAGCCUGAACUGAAGAUUAGAUUGAUUGCUUGUUUAGAGAUAAGAAGAGGAACGUUGAUUGAUUGAAUUGAACACACACCAAUCAAUCUAAUCGUUUUAGUGUUCCACUAUUCUUUUAUUGAUUUGCCAGUGCUUAUAAACUACUCACACCAUGUUGUUUCAUCAAUAAAUAACCUUAUCCAAUGAUCUAAAUUACAACCUUAUCCAAUGAUCUAAUAGAAAAAAAACCAAGGGAGAAAACAAAAUAAGCUUGCUUCUAGAGAUAUUUGGUUUAUAUAAGUCAUCAUAUUGGGUUUUGCAAGUCCCAUAUAAAAGGGUGAGUUUCAUGAUCAUUGUCUUAAAUAAAUUUCCAUUUAGUAUAGGCCGAGACACCCAAUGAGUGUAAACCUAUCCUGACUUUAAAAAACGGGUGUAAUGGGUGCAUGCUUGCAGAGUACAAAUGUGGGUUGGCCUCUAGUGAGUGAGCGAGGACAUGGAAUUGAAGUGAGUAUUUAUUGAAGGGGGACAAGAAAACAAAGGUUGUAGAAGCUCAAAGCUGGUAGUUAACCCCUCCCUCCCUGGUGCCUCCUAUUUCUGCGUUAACUUCCCCUUUCACUCUAUGCUUGCAAUGGCAUUGUAUUUGCAUCCUUCCUCCUCUUGUUGAUUGUCACAAUACCUCAAAUUGCUACUCCUAAGGCUCUGGUCCUUUUCAUAUUUAUCUCCAACCCAUCCCCCCAUAUUUUAUAGAUAUCCCAGUCUCAUGUCAUUUUACUAGGGUUAAAUUCAUACACACCAUAUAAACAAUGACAUUAUGGCCCAUCAAUUCAUCACUUUACUUGUAGCUGGAGCAGAAAUUGGAUCUAUGCCUCAGGCAAAGCCUACAAAACUAGGUUGUUGCUAGAACUAUUUCGCUAUUUUUUUGUUUGUUGAGAGAACCUCAAUAAUAGGGAGAGCUAUCGCUUAUUAUUAUUAUUAUUAUUAUUAUUUGGGGUGUUUUGGAGAAUGCCCCUCAUUAUCAAAAUGAUAAUCUCCCUUAUUAAACAAUUAAUGUACUUACCAAAGUUACUGGUGGACAUGCCAAUCAACGAAUUUUGAACAAAAAACAUCAUACUUAACGACUUGUGCAUGGAAGCUCCGGCCUGGGCCGCCAUCAAGCCCACUCGUGCUUUCUUUUACAAGGAACGGAAAAGUGAGACAAUUAUGGGAAAUGACAUAGUAGAGCAUAUGCUAUGAUCAUCAUUGUGGGAACCAAAUUAAACCUGAACUUUAGGUCAAAUAAUUAGGCUAAUCAGUUUGCGAAUUAUUUGACCUAAUUAGGAGUUACCUAACCUAAUUGGGAGUUACCUAACCUAAUUGGGAAUUACCUAAUCAAAUUAGGGGUUAAUUGAUCCUCGCCUUAAUUAGGAAUUCAGUUAAAUCUCUAAUUCCUAAAUAUACCAACCUCACCAACCACACCAACCCCACCAACUACACCAACCCCACCAACCUCACCAACUACACCAACCCCACCAACCUCUCCAAGGCCACUAUAAAUACUUGGUUACGUACAAGGAUGAGGUACGUCAAAACUACUACUAAAACCUCUGUAGAGACCUUCCCUCACAGACCCUAGCUAUCUCCUCUCUCUCUCUCUCUCUCUCUCUCUCUCUCUCUCUCUCUCUCUUUUUUACAUAAGGCUCCGGCCGCCCGGUUUAUAUUAUAAACAUAUCUCCGUACCCUAUUAGCUAUUUUUUUCUAUACGAUUCAAUUGAACUAAUUUAGGCAUCGGAGGGCCUUUGGCCAACAUCCUCCGGGUGUGGUCCUCUUAUUUGUUCUAUUUUGCAGGGAGAAAGAGGCGGCUAAGAAGAAAGGAGAAUCUUUCCAAUUGAAUAUUCUCGUGGGAAAUUUGCUUCCACAAAUUGGUGUUUUCAUUGAGAGCAUGAGUUAUACUCAACGCGUGCUCAAGGAAUCCGUUCAUCCUAUUUUCCAAUCCACCGAAGCCUUCCAAACAACCAUGGUUGGAAGUAAGAAAACGAGAGGCAAAACUGCCGCGAUGGCUAGAUCCGCAACGGCCCAAAGCCAUUCCACCCACGAUCCCGCGAUCGACAUGGUGGCACCACCACCUCUCACCACCUUGCCACCUACCGGACCUCCAGCUGAGACCACCGCACUGGCCACCGCCGCCGAAUAUGGUAGAACCUCCCAUCAAGGUGGGCUCGUUACCACCGCCAACUUAGGUCCUGUCUUGGAGCAACUUCAAGCAUUCCCUUCAUUGCUUCCACGCUCCACACACUUCUCUUCUCCCUAUCCAUGAAGUCAAACAGACCUUAGUCUGAGAGUUGGCCAACUAGCUUAGAGAAUGGACGACCAAAGCAGUCUGAUGAGGCAGCUCCUCAACCAAAUAAGCUUGGUUCAAAACCUUGGCCUUGGAUAAGCGGGCGAAGAGAGUAGGAUGAGCGAACGCGACGGGCACGACGAGUACCAAGCAUGUCCAGCAGGAGUAAGCAGACAAGGCGAGGGACAACAACGUGAUCGGCUUUCCGACAUGUUGCAAGCAUCCGCGAGCCACACUCAGAUUGAGCCUAAGGAACGACAUGCGCGAGAGGCUGGGCCUACGACCUGACAUCCAUGCCCGCCUGGGCCCGCAGGGAAAUGUACAUCAAAGGCUAGGUCCCCAGGGAGGUCAGCCAAACAACCAUCGCAAUGAGGAUCGUGAAGAAAUACGCUCAGCUAUCCGCUCGCAAAGGAGCAUUCACGAAAGGCAAGGCCCCCAAGGAGGACAACUAGAUAACCUUCACAAUGAGAAUCAUGAAGAAAGGCGCUCCGCUGCUCACCCACGAAGAGUCGACCCUUACCAACAAGCUACAGAGAAUCCUUCACAAGCAUAGUCCACCAACGCGCUACCUUGGCAACGCAGACGAGAAGGUCGACCCUUGGAGGACAAUGAGGAAGUCAAUCAAUAUCGCGUAGGUCGCCAACGUAGCCGACUAGCAAUGUGUGUAGAAGACGUCGAGAAGCUCGUGAAUGAUAGACUUCGAUACUUGAAGACCGGAGGAAACUUCGAGGAUUCACUACGUAAGGAGAUGGACCAGGUGAACUCUACGCCUUUAACUCUCGAUAUCAAGCAGGCUGCUCACCCGAAUCGAUUCAUAAAGCCUUCAUUCACGCAUUUCAAAGGGGAUUCCGAUCCCGAGAGCCAUCUAAAGCACUUCAAAAGUAUCAUGAUCUUCUACAAGGCUAACGAAGUGCUGAUGUGCAAGGUGUUUGCAAUGACCUUGCAAGGAGCAGCCCAAGACUGGUUCCACACCUUGCCAUCUGGGUCGAUCAGCAGCUUCAAGGAGCUAGCUUACGUCUUCAGCAAAGAAUACACUUCUUAUUGGACGAUAAAGAAUACACUUCUUACUGGACGAUCAAGAAGAACCCUGACCACCUGUUCAACCUGCAAAAGAAGGACGAUGAAUCCCUCCUAAAUUACAUCAAGAGGUUCAAAGCAGAAAAAGCAAACAUCAUUGGAUGUGACGAUCGAAUUGCGUCAUCGACCUUCAAGAGGGGCUUGCCAAUUGAGUGUGAGCCGUAUCGUGAGCUGUCCAUCUCUCCCUGCCAAACACUAGUAGAAGUCUUUGCGACAGCAGAGCGCUAUGCACUUUGGGACGAUGACGGGACAGCAGCAAAGAAAGCUGCCAAGCAAGCCGAUCAACCGGUUGAGCCGGCAAGCCAAAGAAACGACAUGAUAAAAGACAAGGAUGGGGGCAAGCACGAAUUAUAGCCUCAGGGAGGUGCUCCAACAACUGAGAGCUACACCAAGUUCACUAUUCCGAUACAGCAGAUCCUAGCCCAAGUAAAGAACAUGCCUUGGUUGAAGAAACCAUCGCCUUUGAAGAGAAACCCAGCCAAGAAGGAUACCAGUAGAUACUGCGAAUUCCAUGAAGGGCACAGUCAUACAUAAAUGACUGCUUCACCUGGAAAAAGCACCUAAAAGAACUGGUCAGAGACGACCAUUGCACGGAAUUCAUCACAAGGGAGGCUAUUCAGCAAAUCAAAGAUUGUGAUGCAGCUGCCAACGAACCUCCACGAAAAGCCCGAGUUGACCACCGAGGAGCAUAAGAGAAAGAUCAUGCAAGCGACAAGAGCAGGUCUCCCAAGCUGUCACCUGCUACCCAAUCAUAGAAGACAAUCUCGACAUCAUAUUUUAAGGGAAGGAAGUUCUAAGACAACGAAAUGCCCAUCACCUCCGAAGGUACUAUCCAUGAAACUCCUCGCCUAUCAGCUCUGCUCCAAGCAGGCGGCCAGGCUUCCUUCACCUCCAUUGAAGACAAGUUACUUUUGAUGUUACCCCUGCAAGUCAUCUCUUUUGUUCAAUAAAGCAAUGUAGUCAAGUAGACUACAAUACAUGUUCAAGCUUCUCUUUCCAACGGAGUGUUCACAAAAGUAAUUGACACGUCUUCGGACGUAGGCCAAACGGGUCACACACAUCGACACGUUUCCGGACGUAGGCCAAACGGGCCACUCUCAUCGACACGUCUCCGAACAUAGGCCAAAACGGACCACACACAUCGACACGUCUCCGGACGUAGGCCAAAUGGGCUACGCUCAUCGACACAUCUCCGGACGUAGGCCAAACGGGCCACACACAUCGACACGUCUCCGAACAAAAGCCAAAUGGGUCACUUUCAUCGACACAUCUCCGGACGUGAGCCAAACGGGUCACAGUCAUCGACAUGAACGGGACACUCUCGUCGACACGUUUUCAGACGCAGACCAAACGGUCACACUGAUCGACACGUCAUAGGAUGUAGGCCGGACAUGCCACAACCCAGAAACGCUCAGGCAAUUCACAAGACACUAUCACUAUGCGAAUUGAAGUUAGAAAAAGCAACUGAAAUUUCCAUAGCAAGGUGACCAACCGGCUGAGUUCAACAAAAAGAUGGUCAAACAUGACCAAAUAUUUUAAACAAGAAAGCGGACUACAAAAGUUGGAAAGAAAUAAAGAAGUCUUCAUCUACUCUGAGACGUCGACAAGAAACCUAUGAUAUACAGCAUCUUCAGCAUCCGCCUGAUCAGCCACGCCCUCAGCAGCUCCACCUGCCUGCUCCACGACAUCUGCUGCCAUCUCAUCGGCUAAGUCCUCCUCUGCUCCAUCCUUUUCAGCUACUGCCUCAUCGGUUCUUUCCAUAUUCACAACAUUAACUUGCUCACUUUGCAAAAGGAACAAGUUCGACUAGCGCGCCUCAAUGUCACCAUCUUCAAUUGCAAAGAACGAAGUCUUCCCAUUUGUGCAGUGCAAGUAGCCCAACUUGUACGCAUCUAUGGUGGCUUCAAACUUGAAUUUCUCUGCAGACUUGUGGUGAGCGCGAACUUUAGCCAGAAGCUUGUCAUAGAUGAGGGAGAUAUCAGCCUUCUUGGGCUCGAGACGAAAGAAGACAUAUUUUUGACUAGCCAAGUCAGCAGCAGAAGAGUUAACCUCAGAAUCCUUUUCGGCAAGGGAGCUUUUUAGCUUCAAUAUCAUCGCCCUCAAAUCAGACGUCUUCUUCUCAUAACAGGCCUGCUCGGUAAAAAGCAUGCUGGCCAGUUCAACCUUCUUCUUCUCCAGCUCGCUGAGCUGAGCUGAAGAGGGGGCAACAACAGAUGAAUUAUGUAUAUUCUCAACAGCAAAAACCAAUCAUUUUUGAAGCAGAUGAAAUGUCGCUUCCCUUCGUUUUUUCAAGGAAAUACUCAAGAAGGUACCAAGAUCGCCGGCCUGACGGAUGUGAUAGACCAACUCAGCAUAGGAGGACGGGUUUGAUAGAAAGUUCAUCUUGAGCAGGUCAAACACGCAUGCAUCCCCUACAAGGCUGGACUUGUUCACUUUGGGAUCAACCGCCGACAUUGAAGAUGCCUUCGCCCGGGCAGAUGACUCUCUCGUCUUCUUAGCUUCCGCCAACCUCACCUCCAAAGGAGUCAAUUAUGCUGAAUCAACUUCACAAUUGACUGCUCGUGACUCAACAACUGGAUCAUGAGCAGACUUCCCGCUUCGAUCUUCAUCCUUUGACUGAUGUAAAUGACUCGAACUUCAAAGAGGAAUAUUUGCAUCUCUUUGACGCUCGGUAGAACGAGAUCAGGCACGAGCUGUUCCAAGAAGCAGAUCAUUGUUUUCAAGUUUGUCAGUAUGAGGCUCGAGUAGAACACCAUGAACACCUCGCAUACCACCAAACAUCCUGCUAUCUACACCAACGAGAUGUUUGACCCUGGCAGAUGACGAUGGAACCGCUCUUACUUGAGUCUUCUUAGCAGAAGGGAUCCUAGGCUUCUUCCUCAAACGGGGACACAUCUUUCGCCAGCGAAGUCGUAGCUUCAUUUUUUGAAGACUUGACAUCAGCAUUCCCUUUUGAAGGAAAGUCCGGUAGAACACUCCUCCUGCCCAGCCAGCAGGUCAUCUAAGUCUGAACCAUUAUGCUUCUAUCUCUCAACAUCCUGGGCAGGGGGUAGACCACUAACUUCCUCCCUUUACCCGCUCAAUUGACGUGGCCUGCAAUGUGCGAGGCUCAGCAUGCUCUAGCCCAGACCUGCGAUGAUAAGCAGCAGCUGGUCCAUCUGCGCGCACCUGUUCCACCACAGCUGCCGCCCACUGCCAACCGUCGCAUGUCACGACAACAACUAGCCUGACUUCCCCCAGCUGGCAUUCACCGCAAAAAAGAAGAAAAGACAAAGAAAAAGAAAUAUACAUGCUCGACUUACCUAAGGAUGCACGACGACUCCUUUCUUCGACAAGUAGUACAAAUUCUCCAAGAUCUCUCUCAAGCUAGAAAGUAGAGAAGUAAGUUUGCGAUAUAAAGAAGAGUGAAGAGAAGCCAUGCAUUUACACAGGUUGGGCAUCCUAGGUGAAGAAGGAAUUACAAGCCCGUUCCUACUGGGAACCCAACUCCAAGAACAAUCAAAAGCUCACUCCAUUUGGGAACCCAAUUUACAAAAGGAGCCCAAGUCACAGAAGGAAGCCCAAUUACAGCUGGACAGCCCAAUAGUUGAUUCACAUCUUCUACAUGCCACCACGCGCUAUGCAGAAACUGGCGGGCAUUUGUGGGAACUAAAUUAAACCUAAACCCUAGGUUAAAUAAUUAGGCCAAUCAAUUUGGGAAUUAGUUGACCUAAUUAGGAGUUACCUAACCUAAUUGGGAGUUACCUAACCUAAUUGGGAAUUACCUAAUCAAAUUGGGGGUUACUUGAUCCUCGCCUUAAUUAGGAAUUCGGUUAAAUCCCUAAUCCCUAAAUAUACCAACCUCACCAACCUCACCAACCCCACCAACCUCACCAACUACACCAACCUCUCCAAGGCCACUAUAAAUACUUGGUUAUGCACAAGGAUGAGGUACGUCAGAACUACUACUAAAACCUCUGUAGAGACCUUCCCUCACAGACCCUAGCUAUCUCCUCUCUUUUUUUCUUUUUUUUUUUUACAUAAGGCUCCGACCACUCGGUUUAUAUUAUAAACAUAUCUCCGUACCCUAUUAGCUAUUGUUUUCUAUACGAUUCAAUUGAACUAAUUUAGGCAUCGGAGGGCCUUUGGCCAACACCCUCCGGGUAUGGUCCUCUUAUUUGUUCUAUUUUGCAGGGAGAAAGAGGCGGCUAAGAAGAAAGGAGAAUCUUUCCAAUCGAAUAUUCUCGUGGGAAAUUUGCUCCUACAAUCACCUCAUAAUAGGCAGUGCCUCUCCAUAAAAAUAGGAGAUACCACUUACCAUAUAAAACCUAUGGUUUCCAAAGCAUCAUAGCUGAUAUUUAAUUACUGAUGCAUCCAGUUUGCAGGACCUAAACUUCUUAAUCCAAAUAGGUUUCCUCCUAACUCUCAACUUCUUAAUCCUUAUGGUCAGUGUAACUCUUCAUAAUCCAAAGAUUAUAAUUCCUAAUUUGGAGCUGCACAAUGUUUUUGGUCAAAAAUGAUUUCAUGAAAAGCCCCAGAACACUAGAAAGGUAGAGAAACAGACCAAAGGAAAAAACUGCACACAACCCAUUUCAGCUCACAUACAAAAUACGAGAGAGAGAGAGAGAGCCACAUACCCAAAAUAAGUCAGACGGCAGCAUUGUCGACGGACUCGGUGUCUCCACCGCCGGAGAUCAGCCUCCACCGCCUCUCCCCCAAGAUCUUUACACCUCAACAGGCGCACACCUAAAAUAAAAGAGUUAAAAUAUAUUCACAACCUGCUUUCUUUUUAUUUUUAAAAAUAAUAAAUAAUAAAAAAUAAAUUACAAUUUUACCCAAAAAGCAAAAUAGCCGAUCACUAAAACAGAGCGCCACCUUCAUUCUUUCCGGCUAUAUAAACAAAGCAUUAUCAAGUAACUAAACCCCUAUUUUUUGAGUCCCCAAACAACUUCUUUCUCCCAUUUUCUGAGUCCUCAAACAAUUCUUAGUGUGAGAAGAUGGGAAAAAGCAAGAGAGAGAGAGGAAAAUGGCUAGGAAAAAGGAGCUGUUUCCCUACAACCUCUGCGACCGUAGCUUUCAUACCAUGUGUGGAUUUCAAGAUCACUCCAACGAGAUCCAUGGAAUGAAGAACAAGACCACUGUGUGCCUUGCAGGUGGAGCACACUUUCUCACUUGUUGGCGUGACUUGUGGAUAUUGACUUACUUUCCUUACACACCAAGAAUUCCUAUUAUAAUUGUAAUUGAUUUACUUUAAUUUCUGAUUUCCUGCUGUAAAUAGAUUUAGGAUUUUAUUAUUUACUUGCCCAUUCAGGUUUCGUUGUAUUAUAAAUAUGACCUCAUACAAGGAGAAGAAUAUACAGAAAAUUCCCACAAACAAAUAUUCUCUCAUAGUUUUCAUAUUUUAGCAUGGUAUCAGAGCAGCGAUCUUGGAAUUGCUGACUCUAGUUUUAAACCCACGCGGCCUCUAUGGGGGUUGAUUUUUUCAACCCUCGUGAUGCUAUUGUCACCGCAGUUCACCUGAUCAACCGCAUGCCUUCUGGUGUAUUAACCUUUAAAACUCCCUUACAGGUGCUUGAGCAACACAAACCUCUGCCAUAUGUUUUGGUACUUAUACCCCGAAUCUUUGGAUGUGUGGCUUUUGUUCAUCUUCACAAAAAUCAACGUAGCAAAUUUGAUCCCUGUGCGCUUCGUUGUGUUUUUGUGGGUUAUGCCACUCAUCAGAAAGGCUACCGCUGUUAUCACCCUCAUACCCAACGUACCUAUGUCACUUUGGAUGUGACAUUUCUGGAAUAUGAGCUGUUCUUUCAUGACCUAUCAUCCAAUUCUACGCUUCAGGGGGAGAUACAAAGUGAAGAGCAGAAUUGGAGCAACUUGAAAAACGAAGAAAUUCCCCUAUGUACAGAAAUGAUUGAUCGUCCCAAGUCUGGAGCACUAGAUUACUCUUUACCGAAAAGCAAUCAAUCACCCAUUCAUCGCGAUCAAUUGUCAUGUGAAGAUAUUUCUGAUCCGAGUCUCACACCUACAGACAAUACAGAACAACAAGAUGAAGACCUCCCUCUAACUCAACAGUAGCAAUAGACCAAUCUUCUGAAAAUAUCCUUGAGGUAACUACUCCUACUAGACUUGUGCAUUUAGAGGAUAAAACUAUUAAAUAUCAAUUACCUUUCAGGCAAAAUCGUGGGAAGCCACCAAACCGUUAUUCACCUGAUAUUGGCAAGACAUCCAAGUAUCCAAUUGCAAAUCAUGUAUCCACUGAGAAGCUGUCUGAACCACUCAAGGCUUUUGUGCAUCAGCUGUCUGCUAUUCAUAUUCCAACCAAAGUCUUUGAAGCAUUGAAAGAUCCUAAAUGAGUCCAAGCUAUAAAAGAUGAGAUGAAAGCACUUGAGAAAAAUCAGACUUGGACAUUGGAGACUAUACCACGAGAAAAUAAGACUACCGGAUGUAGAUGAGUGUUUACUAUAAAACACAAUGCAGAUUGAUCUAUCAAGCGAUACAAGACAAGACUUGUGGCAAAAAGGUACACACAGACCUAAGGUAUAAACUAUGAAGAAACCUUUGCUCCAGUUGCAAAGUUAAACACCGUCAGAGUCUUAUUAUCCCUUGCAGCUAAUUUGGAUUGGUCACUAUACCAGUUUGAUGUAAAGAAUGCUUUUCUACAUGGCGAACUCAUGGAGGAGGUGUAUAUAAACAUUCCUCCUGGAUAUAAUACUACUCAGACUGGAACAGUUUGCAGGUUACGAAAAGUAUUGUAUGGAUUGAAACAGUCACCACGUCCAUAGUUUGGACGGUUCACCAUGGCAAUGAAGAACAAUAGUUUCAAACAAUGCAACUCAGAUCAUACUGUGUUCUUGAAACAUCGGAAAGAGAAGGUAACAACAUUAAUAAUCUACGUUGAUGAUAUGAUUAUUACUGGGAAUGAUAAACAGGAAAUAACACAGCUACAAGACUAUUUAGCUACUGAGUUUGAGAUGAAGGAUCUAGGUGGACUCAAGUAUUUCUUGGGAAUUGUGGUGGCUCGAUCGCAGCAAGGCAUAUUUCUCUCUCAAAGGAAAUAUGCCUUGGACUUGUUGACAAACACAGGAAUGCUAGACUGCAAACCUGCGGACACUCCUAUUCUUCAGAAUCAUCAUCUUGGAGAAUAUCCGGAUCAAGUUCCAACUAACAAAUAAAGAUACCAAAGGUUAGUAGGAAGAUUGAUUUAUUUGUCACAUACUUGACCAGACAUUGUUUAUGCGGUGAGCGUUGUCAGUCAAUUUAUGCACUCUCCAAGUGAAGACCACAUGAAUGCAGUUCUUCGGAUCCUGAGAUAUUUGAAGUCUGCACCUGGAAAAGGACUUAUGUUCUCAAAGCAUGGUCAUCUAAAUAUUAAUGGUUAUUCAGAUGCAGAUUGGGCAGGUAAUGUAACAGACAGAAAAUCCACAUCGAGUUACUUCACAUUCGUGGGAGGUAAUUUGGUGACAUGGAGGAGCAAGAAACAGAAUGUAGUAGCUUUAUCCAGUGCAGAGGCCGAGUUCAGAGGCAUGACUAAAGGAAUUUGUGAACUUCUUUGGUUAAGAAAGUUGCUUACUGAACGUGGGUAAAAACCUACAUCCACAAUGAAUCUCUUUUGUGACAACAAGGCUGCUAUAGCCAUUGCACAGAAUCCGGUUCAGCAUGAUCGUACUAAAUAUGUUGAGGUGAAUCGACACUUCAUCAAACAGAAGCUUGAUGCUAAAGUGUUUCAGUUUCCGUUUGUGAAAUCCGAGGAUCAAUUGGCGGAUAUUUUGACAAAGGCGAUUUCCAGUAAAAGCAUUCCACAAUUCACUGGAUCAGUUGGGCAUUGGUGACAUCUAUGCACCAACAUGAGGAGGAGUGUUGGCGUGACUUGUGGAUAUUGACUUACUUUCCUUACACACCAAGAAUUCCUAUUAUAAUUGUAAUUGAUUUACUUUAAUUUCUGAUUUCCUACUGUAAAUAGAUUUAGAAAUUUAUUAUUUACUUGCUCAUUCAAGUUUCGUUGUAUUAUAAAUAUGACCUCCUACAAGGAGAAGAAUACACAGAAAAUUCCCACAAACAAAUAUUCUCUCAUAGUUUUCGUAUUUUAGCAUCACUUACGUGGAUUACAUCACCUUCCAUCCAACAGCAAGAUAAUGUUUCCUUUUGCUAUAUUAAUUUCAAAAGUAUUUGUUUAACUUGGAAAAUUUAAUUAACACAGUGUUUGGCUUUCUUUUACGGAAAUGUGGAGGCCACAACUGAGCAUUCGUGGUUGGGGGACUUGGGAGUUUUGGGUUCCUAGUUCCGACACCGGUUGUCAUUUCAGAAGAUCUAUCUACUCAGUUUAGUACAUGUCUAUCUACUAUAUUCCUAGUUCAAAAAAAUUCUGAAUUUGUCUAUCUGGUUUAUAAGUCGAUGAUGAACUAAUUGGUUAAUUUGUUUGAAUAUGCUGAAUUCUUCUACGCCCAUGUGUUCUUGGAUUUGGCCGAUGAUGGCUUUUGAUUGCUAUACCUAUAUCGGUUAUCUGUCAACAGGUGUUUGAUUUGAUGAUAAUCAUAUGAAAUGCAUGCAUGAGCGUCUGAAUUUAGAUACUAUUGCAUCUGUAUGUUAACAGAAGUUUCCUUAUGAUGUUUCUUUCAAGAAAAGCAAACUUGCCAUGGUUCAACAGACUAGAUUUCUUUGUUGAUACAGAGAACAUUUGACCUUACCUUACAUGUCUGUUCUGUAAUAACAUAUCUAAAUGAGACAUCAAAACUGGAAAUGAUUAUCAAUAGGAUCAAAAUUUGCUCAGUGAAUCUGAUAAUAUUGUGUAAACGAAGUAUUGCCACUGUGCUUUUCAAGCUGCAUGAAAUAACCAUCUCACAGAUCAAAAAACAAGUCACAUUCAUCAAGUUCCGAAAAUAAUGACCACAAAGAAUGCAGACCUGGAGAAAUGAUUCUACAGAUUGUUGAUCUUUUGGUAAAAAAGGCACCUCAUCUCUCUUCUUCCGCACAAAUUCAAUGUUUUGCUCCACCUGCAGUUCAAGAAUCAGAGCUUUUUGGUCACAUCAGAAAGAUAAUUCCUAUGGCAUUAAUUACAUUACCAGCCAGCCAUGGAGGCAGUACAAGCAGUCUAUUAACAAUGUUGGUGAGUUCACAAAAGCCUAUAAAGGAGCCAUUACUGUGCCAAACAUUCUUUUCCAUAUAAUAGUUUUAUUCGAAUUUCCCUCACACAACUUUGGAAUAUACGAUUUUACAAGAUGGUUGACCAGGCUGGACCCAGGCAUGAAAUAAUAUCAGUACAGCCUGAAUAUUGAGACCACACAUGCCUCCCUAAAUUUUUUAAUGAGCUAUGGCCUACUAAUGAGGAAACCAGUAGAUAAGAGACCUAUGUCUCAAGUGUCCUUACCUCCGGAAAAUAAAUUCCUUUGUCAAGGAGAGAGAUGCAAUUAGUAAAACACUAAAUUCUUCUAUGGUAACUGUACCUGAUCAAUAAAACGCUUCACUAAAACUCUCUACAGUGGUUAUCUCAUGAAACUUCCUCAAACGGACAAGGGGAAUAGUCGCCAGAUCGGGAAAAGAAAUAUGAUGACUCCACUGUUCUUGGAAGUUCCUUGAUUUUAACCAAUAUGCUUUGGAAACUGUACCAAAAAUAAGUAAAACCAGACCGAAUUGCAUAACCAAAUUGCACACUUUUUUAUUUUUUUAACGUUACUAAUUCCUAACCUUUACAGAACAUAAAAUAUUGGUGUCUUUUCCAGGUUUUCCGACAUCCUUGCCAAUUUUAUAUUCCAGAAUAUCCAACACCAUGGAGGCAACAGGAAUGAAAAUGCCACUGGAAGAGGAGAGAUGAUUCAGCCAUUGAAUGCAUUUGAUUCUUAAAGGCAAAUAUCUGGGUCCAGAAAACAAGACAGCCACUCCAUUUAUAAUAUGAAGGAUUGUAAAGAGCAAUGGAUGAAGAUCAUAAUCAUGUAUGUUGGCUGAUAUAAACAUAACCCAUAGAUCAAUGCAGCUAGUGUACUGCCAACUGCAUAUCUUCUUGACCGCUUCCUGGCCAUAGAAAAUGAGCAGAAUUUCAGGGAAAAUAUCACUGGUAAAUUCUAAAUACCAUAAUUUAUUGUCCCACACACACAUAAACUAACUUGAAAUAGCAAAAAAAAAUUAUCUGCCUGAACUGAAUUUAAGGAAACAAGCAGCUGAGAGGAUUGCACUAAUGGUGGCAAUACCUUCUUCUUUGUCAAUAAACCCUGCUUCAGUAUCUUAGCAAGUUGCUGGAUCGAUGGACACCGAUGCUUUCCUUGAUGCUUUUUGCAGAUCCACAGAGCAUAGCUCCACAAAGGAGUUUCUUAGAAAUUGUAUGUGUUGAAAUAGAACAGGCUCCAAAAAUUGGCAAUGACCAAUAAAGGUUUUAUAUGUAUUAACAAAGCAGGUGUCAAAGCAAUCAGAGCGAAAAACAGAAGCCACAUCACGUAUGAUGAGAAAGGAUAGAGAUGAUAUAGUCCCUCUUCCAGUUGCCCACAGAUGAACGGGCUAUGACUAGCACUUUAAAGAUCACUCAAACUUGCAGGAUGCCGUAAGUUAAACUCACAACUGCUCUGUUUGUGUGUGUUCUUGCAUGCAUGCACGCGCAGAGAGAGAGAGAGAGAGAGAGAGAGAGAGAGAGAGAGAGAGAGAGAGAGAGAGAGAGAGAGAGAGAGAGAGAGAGAGAGAGAGAGAGAGAGAGAGAGAGAGAGAGAGAGAGAGAGAGCCUAAUCCAAAUGGGUUUCCGACUGGCCUUCAACCUGCCCUUGUGGUUAAGUGCGCUUGCACUAACUCCUAGUGGGUCUUGGGUUCGAAGGUUGGUACCACAUUCUCUACAAAACCCAAAUGGGUUUCCUAAUCUCCAACGGAUGAUAUGGGGUUAGUCUCCUAAUCCUAUGGGCAUUGUAAUUCUAUUCCAUAAUAAAGGAGGAUAGAACAAGAAAAUAGGUAUAAAUAGGGGUAGGUACUAGUCCAAAUGGGUUUCCUAAUUUCCAACGGAUGAGAUGAGACCAAUCUCCUAAUCCUAUGCGCAUUGUAAUUCUAUUUCUUAAUAAAGGAGGAUAGAACAGGAAAUCAGGUAUAAAUAAGGGUAGGUAUCAGUCAUUUACUAGUACUAGUACGUUACGUUCAAAGCAACGUCUUUCAGCAAAUAAGAAAAUUUGAUGAUUAAUGGGCAGCUUAUUUCAAUCUUCUUGGUGAUUAUUUCAGCAAAUAAGAAAAUUCUUCUUCUGGAUUUUAGAGUAUGACUUCAGGUAAAAUUUUCUCAAACAAAUUAUUGUCUUCUUAUAUUCCUUAUUUCUUUUAGUUUUUUUAAACAAAUUCUUACGUAGCUAUUGCAAUUUGUACUCAUUAUUAAGUGAAUAACACCGUUUCAUUCUUCUUCCUUGUUAUCUCUCUAACGUUCUUUUUGUUUUGUUUUUGUUUUUCUUCUAGAUUGGGCAGGAUUGCCUCACCAUCUUUUGAGUUCAAUUUUUGAGAGAUUAGCGUCACCAUUAGACUAUCUGCGAUCCAGUAUUGUUUGUAUGUCAUGGCACUGAAUGGCAAAGGCUCAUGAAAAACAAUUUGCUAAGAUGCAAAGUUGUCAUCAUUCUCCUCCAUUGCUCUUGAUUCCUACUGACAAAAAUAAUAUAUGGAAAGUCUACAACGUCAUGGAUGAUAAGCUACUGGAUUUGCAAGUAAGAGUCCCAAAUAAAAGAUUUUGUGGUUCUUCAAAAGAUUGGUUAAUAGUUGUGGAGAGGAAUUAUGCAAUAACCCUAAUAAAUCCAUUCUUUAGGGUUAUAGGGGGAGAAAGAAAGAAAACUCCAUCAUUCGUCUUCCUCAAUUAAAUAUUCCGCAGUGCGAGGCAUGGGCUGCAGAUUGUAACAAUUUUGUCUUCAAGGCUUCGAUUUCAGCAGACCCAAUAUUAAAUGCAAACGAAUGCAUUGUUACAGUCAUAUACCAAGAUAAAUGUCAAGAGUCUUUUAUUAGACUAGGUAAAGACACGACGUGGACUUUUGUUGAUGAAAGGUAUCAUCUGAUUGAAGAAGUUGCUGCCAUUGAGAAUAAAUUUUACGCAGUCGAUCAUUUUACCAAACUUUUAUCUUUUGAUAUCACUACUCAGAUGUAAAGAUUAUCGCACAAGAGAUGAAACUACGGUUAUACGAUAAGAAGACAUAUACCGUGAAUUUAAUUGAAGAAAUUAUAAUGCUCCUAAGGUAUUUUGACUUUGACUUUGAUGCGCGCAAACGUGUGACGACAAACUUCAAGGUUUUCAAAUUGGAUUUUGAAAAACGCAAGUGGAUUACAAAAAAAAACAUUAGGUGAUGCUGCUAUCUUUUUGGGUGAUAACUCUUCAAUAUCUGUGUUAGCUUCAGAAGUUUCAGGAUGUCAGCCAAAUUGCAUAUACUUCAACCAUGACAAUGAAUGUAUAUUUAAUGAAAUUCGUAAACCUCAUGAUUUUGGUGUGUAUAACGUCAAAAAUCGAAGCUUUUCGCAACCUUACAACACAGAUGCCAUGAUGGUCAGUCGACCCCCAAUUUGGAUUGUGCCAAGCCUUCAACUGUAAAAAGCUAGCUUAUUCUCCUCAUAUUUAUUUCUCUUACAUUGUACUUUAAGAUUUUAAAGGUAUUUGGUUUACUUAAGCUUGUUCUUUCUCAAAUUUGUGUUGCUUCAAUCUUAAUUCACGUAUGAACCUCUCUUGAAAAUUUAUUAAAAUUCUACAUGUGUUUUACAUAGCUAAUAUAAUUUCAUUUUGAAAUUUAAUUCAUAUCGAUACUCUUAUCGUAUAUACUUGGUCGUGAAGGCUUCUUGCCGUUAAAAAUAAACGCUAACAUCGUCAGCUGGCAUUGACGCCUUGGUUGAAGAUGAAGAUGCUUGUUGAAGAUGCGCUCCUUUUUUUUUUCUUUUUUUUUUUUAAAUUUUUUUUCUUGCAUUGACAUUAAGACGUCAAGCAUCACCAAAACUUUUAUCCUUGGUUGAAGAUGUUUGUGUUUCAGUUUUAUCAUAUUCACUGUUUCUCUGCAUGCUAGUUAAUUUCUAUAUGAUUGUGCAAACCUCUUAUACAAUACAACAAACAACUGCCGUUCAUUUCUUUUUACAGAGCAGAUUACAGAAAAAUGAAAAAAAAUGCAUUUAUUAUAAGACUGUUGUAAUUGACAUUGAGAGAAGAGAGAUUAGGAAAGGCAGAGAAGUCAAACCUGUUGAGUGUUCCAUCAAGGCCAGAAUCCACCAAAUUUAUUUCAACAAUGCUGCCAGCUUCAUUGCAUUGAAUUCCAGUCCAGUUGCAAGGGCUGCUUCUGCUGCUAUCAAUUCAGGAGAAAAAUGUUUGAGCAAAAUCAUAGGCUGGUUGGAGAAUAUAUAUGGUUUUUGUGGAGAAUUAUAAACUACAUAUUAACAAAAAACAUGUUUCUGCAAUAAUCAACUAAAGAAAUCCGAGGGUCCAAAACGACAGCGCAAAUUACCUUGAACAAAACCAUAUUUGAUGAUAGAGGGUACAAUUACAAGAAUUAUUUUGCAUCAUAUGUGUAAAUGGUACCCAAAGAGAUCAAACUAAUUUCUAUGUAUGACAAGAGGCUUAAUAAUCAUAUAAGAACCUAGGAUGGUUUACAUACGAAACAGAGUACAUCCAUUUAUUUUAUGAUCCUUGGUUCGCUUGAACUGGAGCAACAGAAUGAUUGGGAGCGUAAUGGCCAAAUCACAUAAAGUCCAGCUUGGUUACACGUCCCAGUAUCGGAUGGAGGCACAAGAUGAUAGACACAAGUAUUAACAUCCUAUGCAAGAAAGAAGAUACCUCCACCUUUUAUACAAACUAACUGAGAAAGUACCCUUCUGAAGCUGCUUUCUCCAUGACCUCUUUCUGCGCAAAAGAAGUUAAAUAAGAGUCAACUCUUCCAAUGUUCAUUAUCAGAUUUAUGGGGAAUUGACUAAUAUACUCUUCUUUCAUCAUGUGUGCAACAAUUUUGACACAUUUGGUGCCAGAGAAGAAUAUAUAGAUUUACCUGGAUUAUUGUAGUGACCAUCCCAGGACCCUCCUGGUUAUAAUUGCAAAACAAAUAAAUAGUGAAGAAAAGAACAAAGAAAAUGUGCAGAACAGUUGCAGCAUCUUAAAACUCUAGAUGCACACACCUCAAAAUGUUUGUCUUUCCAUGAGAUCUCCUCCCAAGAUUUAGAAUUUAGUGAUUCCCAUGAACUUGGAAAACUAAUUCUCUCCGCGUGCUGCAGAAGUCUCAAGCUACCUGCAAUGUAAAUCUCUUUAAAUCUUAUAUGAUAAAAUAUUCUAAGAAGUGUUUCCUGUGCCCAAAUUUAAAGUUGGAAGAGAUAAGUAGAGGCUUACUUGUAAUGAACGCCUCUGCCCAAAAUUCACUCUCUGACCACGAUGGUGCAACUUCUCGAAAGGGGAUUCCCUUGCUCAAGCAUACUCUACAUAAAUUACAAGAAGCGCAAUCAACUGAUCAGCUACCAAAAUGGGAAUCACUUAAUAAAAAGUGACCCGAGUGCAUUCAAAUACAAUAUGUAUCUUGGACCAGAAUUCCCAAGUUAAUACUUCCUCCAAGGUCACUCAUAAGAGCUCAAUAACCCUAUGGAGAAAACCUUGCAAAACAGUUUAUUUAACUUUUUCAAACAUUCAAAAGAACCAGCGGACACUAGAAAAGGCUAAUCAGAAUUUCCCUUUUUAAACCACAUACACCAUUCAACACAAACUGUGGAUACUAAAGAAAAUAAGACUUCCAUGUGUAAAGAAAUAACCAGACACCAGACAACACAAACUGUAGCGAUGACGCUAAUCUACAUAGUAAAUAUAUUUGAAAAAAAAUAUAGUCAGGGGUUCAACAGCAGGAGGGGGGACUUACUCAAUGACCAAUUGGCGUAUAAUUCCUGGAAGGACAUGAUCAAUAAUAGGAGCUGUCUGUACUUCAAAACAGUGCACACUUUGCCCCUUAGCUUCAUCGUUAUCCUGAAAGCACCUUUCACAUUGUUUUCCAAUUAAACAGCUAUCUAUAACUAGGAGAGUCUAAGACACAUCACUUGGUCAUAAACAUACUCUCCUUAUCAACAAACUGACAAAGAAGUCUCACUUAAAACUGAGUUAAUCUAAUGUAGUUAAAAAAAAUUCAAAAUCCAAGAGCCUCUAACCUUCCGGCAGACGACAAAGAAGUUUGAGACCGUCCCCUCAAGAAUCCGGUCACCGUCAUUAGACAACAAGAGCUCGGUCCCAUUGGGAGGCCUCAACCUCUCCAAAGACUUCCUAAUCCUGCAAGUUAAGCAACCCAGCAAUCAAAACUGCUGAAAAUACUUAAAGCCCAAGUAAGAAAAAUCCAAGCUUUAACUCAUUCACACAUUGAUAAGUUGUCAGAUAUAACCAACCUCACCCAAUCCGAAUACUUAGCAGAAGCAUCGUCUCUCCCACGACCCACCACAGCCAAAUGCGCACCGUUUCCUUCGAUACCAAACACAGUUGGCACAUAAGUCCCAAUGUAAAUACUCACAUCAAAAACCCCAUUGCCAAAUCUUUCAUGGUCCAAGCCCUCACUCUCAUUCUCACUCAAUUUCUCCAAAUUGCCACUGACCAGAGCUGUAAUUGACAGUUCUUCUCCCUCACUCCUCUCAUUCAAAGCAAUCGGCAACACUCGUUUCAUCGAACGAUUCACGAGCUCGCGAACCUCUGACUGGAGCAAAGGGGAGUUGGAGGAGAGCGACGGCAACGAAAGCGACGUCGUUUUGUUGGGUCCGAACAGAAGCUGAGGAUUCGAAUUGUAUAGAAUUGCUACUGAGUCCACCAGUCUCUUCAACUGUCGUUCCCAGAACAGCACGAACGACGCGUCUUUGUGAGUGCGAGACGUCGUGUACGCUCCUGGUGUGAUCGGAGCAGGCGCGAAAUUGGAUUUUGUCGUUAGUGUUUUUGGAAAAAUUGAAUUUGAUUCUCAAACAGAGAAACAGAGAGAAUGGUGUACCUGGAUGCGUUUCGAGGAAGCUUGUAACCGGUGGAGUGUUGGCGGGCUGUGAAACGACGCCCUUGCUGAACAAGAACCUGGGGCUUAAAGUCGCCAUUGAUUUAGUUGCUGAUGGUCGCCAUUGAGUUUUAAUCGUUGAGGUUCUGGGUUUGUAGUAGUGAAAGUGAUCGAAGAGGUUGACUGCAAGUACAGUGUCGUUCAUUUGUAAUGAAAUAUAGGACAGUACGAAACUCUCGUUUUUAGAACAACAAAUUGUAAAGAUAAAGAAAUGACAAUUUUUUAAUUUAAAAAAAUACAUAAAGAAAUUACAUUUAACCAUUAAAUAUGUAUGAGAAAUUCAAGAAAAAAAAAAUAUGUAUGACAAACCGCAUCAUGCAUUAGCAUUACUAGUUUUCAAUACUGAAUAUGUGAAAAUGGACACGCAUUUUAUUUGUUUUUGCUUCAAUUUAACAUGAAUAUUUAAUGAAAUUCGUAAACCUAAUGAUUUUGGUAUGUAUAAUGUCAAAAAUCGAAGCUUUUCGCAACCUUACAACACAGAUGCCGUGACCUUAAUGAAGAUGGUCAAUCGACCCCCAAUUUGGAUUGUGCCAAGCCUUCAACUGUAAAAAGCUAGCUUAUUCUCCUCAUAUUUAUUUCUCUUACAUUGUACUUGAAGAUUUUAAAGGUAUUUGGUUUACUUAAGCUUGUUCUUUCUCAAAUGUGUGUUGCUUCAAUCUUAAUUCACGUAUGAACUUCUCUUGAAAAUUUAUUAAAAUUCUACAUGUGGUUUACAUAGCUAAUAUAAUUUCAUUUUGAAAUUUAAUUCAUAUAUCGAUACUCUCAUCGUAUAUGCUUGGUCGUUUGAAAUUUAAUUCAUAUAUCGAUACUCUCAUCGUAUAUGCUUGGUCGUGAAGGCUUCUUGCCGUUAAAAAUAAACGCUAACAUUGCCAGCUGGCAUUUGACACCUUGGUUGAAGAUGAAGAUGCUCGUUGAAGAUGCGCUCCUUUUUUUCUUUUUCUUUUUUAUAUUUUUUUUAAAUUUUUCUUGCAUUGACAUUAAGACGUCAAGCAUCACCAAAACUUUUAUCCUUGGUUGAAGAUGUUUGUGUUUUAGUUUUAUCAUAUUCACUGUUUCUCUGCAUGCUAGUUAAUUUCUUUAUGAUUGUGCAAACCUCUUAUACAAUACAACAAACAACUGCCGUUCAUUUCUUUUUAUAGAGCAGAUUACAGAAAAAUGAAAAAAAAUGCAUUUAUUAUAAGACUGUUGUAAUUGACAUUGAGAGAAGAGAGAUUAGGAAAGGCAGAGAAGUCAAACCUGUUGAGUGUUCCAUCAAGGCCAGAAUCCACCAAAUUUAUUUCAACAAUGCUGCCAGCUUCAUUGCACUGAAUUCCAGUCCAGUUGCAAGGGCUGCUUCUGCUGCUAGUGAGAGUCCAUGAUGUUAAAGAAGAAGAACUUAAACUGAUUUUCCAGUUUAGCAGAGCUUCUGCUUCAGUUUGUGCAUGGAUUGCUCAGAAAAAGCCCCAGCGUCAGCG
rnacentral:lncRNA from 1 species